GGGGGAGGGACGGCUGGUGAUAGCUGCAGGACGGGCUGCGACAGCGGGGGCCUGUGCGCCUGGGAGGGGUGGAGAUAGCCCCCGGGGGAGCGGCGCCCUCGGGGGGAAGCGAGCGAGCCAGCGGCGGGUCGCCUCAGAGCUGCUCCUGUUUUGGCGGGAACGCGGGAGGAGCCCCGUGGAGCGGCACCUUCGCGGGCGGGCAGGUGGGCUGGAGAGAGGGCAGCGCCCCGCUCCUCCCCCACCUCGCACCCCGCUCCGAACUGGGCGGCAUCUCUGCGAAACUGACGGGCAGCCCAGCCAGGCAGAAGCCCCUCAGGUAAGCGGGGUGGCGGGAGGUUACUGCGCGCGCGCGUGCAGAAAGCGAAGUGUGUUUGGGAUACGAGGGGCGAGUUCUUUCCCUUCCUUAAAAAAAUGUUUUAGUCCCCGUCUUGCUCGGAGCCCCCACCGAGCUGGCCGACCACAAAUCCCAGCGGCGACCGGAGUUUGGUUUUUGUGCUCUCCCGCCCGCCAAAUCAACCACGUCUGCAGGCAGCUUGCCGACCACCAUGCUCCUGUUUCUCUCUCUCAAUUUCUCCUCUCUGGUAGCGCUGAACUUGCCCUGCUGCUGCUCCUGGAUUUCAUAAGAGAAUAUUGAAUUUCUGAGGAAAGGAGGGAGGGGUGCGAUGGCAUGAGGGAGAAGCCGAUUGCUAAUGCCUCAGCGGGCGGGCGGGCGGGCGCGCGCUCUUCUCCGCCCGCCCCGCUCCCCUCCUUCCCCCGGGAGGAGAGAGAGAGAGAAGCGGGGAUGUUAUGGAGAGCGAUGGGCUGACAGAAGGCUGCUGCUGCCAAGAGCCGAGGCUGUUUUGAAAACAUCGCCACCCGGCGCUCCAGGCGGCGGCUCUCUAGCCAUAUGCCUGGAGUGACGCUUCCUCUGGUGGGCAAAUGCUGGCUAGCAAAGCAGCAACCGGCCUCGCCUCGGAGUGGGAAUACUCCCCUCCACGCACAAGCACCAACACUUGCACCCUCGUAGUGGGAACGCUGCAUCCUCAGCCGAGGCUGCAUCAGGUUGGAGGGAGAGAGAGAGAGGAGCUCAUGUGGGGAAUCUUUUGGCAGCGGCCCAGCGCUCUGACUGAAGAGGUUAUCGAAAACAAGCUGGCUUGGGAGUUGAAAAAAAGAGUGAGGAAGUAUGUUAGCCGAAGGGAGCUGACAGGCAGGAAGUGCGACCCCUUGAUUGUUUUCUUUGUUCCUUUCCUCUUCCUAAUCACCUCUUCCCCCCCCUCACCCUUCUCUUCUUCACAAUCACUUCCCCUAAGUUUCUUAAUUUUUACUGAUACUCAAAUGCCGCAGUAGCUUUUGCCGCUUCGCUAAUUUCACUGCCCCCUCUUCUGCAAAGUCAGCUCCUCUGGAACCUGGGCUGCAAUUCUUGCUAACACUUGACAGAAUAGGCAGCUUGACUGAAGAGAGUGAUUCAGCACCGGAGGUGACCUGAGGGCAGCUGAUAGCAGAGCGAGGAGGUAAGGACUUCCUUCCCCCUCCCCAUCCCCACAACAUUCACACACCUCCAGAACACUCCUUCCACCGCAGGCCCAUUGACUUUCAUGUGGUUGCUCUGGAGCAAAUGGGCUGUAAAUAGCUGCCUUCAAAAUUAUCUUUAGAAAAAUAUAUAAUCUGUGAAUGUCUCAUGAAAGUAUAUCUAGCAUUUCAAAUUGCCUUUUUCACUUCACUGUUGUAUAAAAGGAAACUAAGCUAAAAAACAACAACAACAGUAUUGAGCUAUAGAAUUUUUCUGUAAUCAUACUUUUAACUUCCAAAGGUUAUCAACACGUUUUAACAUGAACAUGGGUUUCUUAACCAAAGGAUGUUGUAAACAGAACUAUGAUAUCUGCUGUAUCUGACCUCCUAGGGGAUAUAUGUAGCCUCCAACUUAACAGGGUGCAAGCCAAAAGGAUAAAUAUGCUGCCUAAAAUUAUUCACUUGGUGAUGUCAAGAUUUUGAUAGAAAAUAUCAAAUCCCAACAUAUUUCAUUUCCUGUGCUCUUCAGUGGACAUUUGCAAUAAAUAAAGGAUGAAAGUUUUGCUUCUUCAGUCCUUAGGUUUUGUUGAAAUAGCCUUAUCAGGUGUGCAUAAUUGGGUUUGACUUAUCUGAAAUAAUUACUGACCUUGUAUUCUAGCUGGGCAAGUAUCCUUCCAACACUUACAGUGUGAAUCUGGGCAUGAGUUCAGUGGGGCUUACUCCUGUUGACAAGUUUUCAUUAGAAUGAGGCUUCAUAUUCUGAACAUGCCUCAUAACUGCAUCAAAAUCUUUCACUUUUUCUGAUCUGAGACCCUCCUUUAACCAAACAUGUUAAGAUCCUCUCUUUUUUAGCAUAUAAUUGUAUGGUGGCAGUGCUGCUGUUUCAACCCACCUUAGAUCAGAAUCUUACCAGGUACUGGGUCCCAACCUACAAGAUGAAGACCAAUGGUCUGCAUCAAAUACAUGAAAUUUUAUCCUGAGUUUCUGGUUGCAGAGUGAGGAAAGGAAAUUGUCAAAACUGAGGUCAGAAGUAAAUGAUAUGCCAGAAUAUCUGUGUUAACAACAACUGUUUUUUGUGAAUAACCCCACUGAUGAUAAUGUUUAUAUUUUUCUACAAUUCGUGUCCUGACCUUUCUGGAAAACACUUCAUGCAUCGAAAAAGCUUGUACCAUAAUCCAUUUAUGUGUUAAAGUACCACAAGACUUCUUGUUCUCCUCCCCCCCCCUUUAUCACCGCUGGGAUAUUUUAAAUUUUCUUUUUGCAGACUCCAUGGAGUGAGUUUUACAUGUUUGUAUCCAGCAAGGUCAUUCCAUUAGCACAAGGAGCUUUGCCUGUGUGAUGAGACUUCCUGUCUCUGCAUGCCCUUGGGGCCCCUCCAAUCUGCUCUGGAGUGUAGAAGUAACCCUCAGAGUAGAUGUAGGGGCAUGCAGGGAGAGGAAGGCUCAUUUUGAAGACAGACAUAAGAAGAGGUUGCUGGAUCAGGCUAGUAGCUCAUCUAGUCCAUCAUCCUGUUCUCAUAGGAACCAGCCAGAUGCCCAUGGAAAGCCCAAUAGCAGAACCUGAGUGCAACAGCACUUUCCUUACUUGUCAUCCCAGCAUCUGUCAUAAAGAGGCAUGCUGCCUCUGACAAUAGAGGAUAUAGCCAUUGUAGCUAGUGUGCAGAAGUCCUUGCACUAAUGGGAUGACUUUGUUGAAUACUACCCUUAGUUUAUAUGCUCCUACAAUUUUGUACUUAGGUUACUCUAAUGUGAAAUAGUCAUUGAUGGUGCUAUAUAAAUUAGAAUAUUUUUUUUCUUUAAUGACAGUAUUUUAAUAGAUCAGUUGGAAUAAAAAGACUUAAAUUCACUGAUUUCAAUGGGUGUACUAUGGUAAAUAUUGGAUACCACCCUAUUGUUCUUUGGAAUGCUUCCCCAAUAGGGGUUCAGCAGGCACAGUUCCUUUCUUUAGAGGGGAAAAAUAACCAAGUUAUUUUUGCAGCUGUUCUGCCUGCUUUGGUCAUGUGAUGCUUACCAGCAUAAGGAGAAUAUUUGAGUUAAGUCUAUUGGGAUUUUUUUAGAUUUCCUUUUUGACUUGAAUUGUUUUAGUUUGUUUUUAUUAUAAACUGGCUUGGAAGGUCUUGUGGUUAAAAGGUUUCCUAUAAAGAUAGGAAAUCAAUAUUGAUGGGGCAAUGUCUUUUAGAGUUGCUGCCUCUCUCUCUCUCUUUUUGGUAAGUAUUCUGUGCCUUUAACUAUCUUGCUUAAUCACAAGAAACAUUUUCUUUUCCCAGGAACUGGGUCCUUAUUUGAAUAUUCAAACCAAACCCCUUUACUUUUCAAAGUCAUGUUAUUUGUUUUCUUUUAGGAGCAUCCAACACAGACCAUAAUAAACAUCUCUCUUAGAUAUUUUCCAUCUGCCUGUUAAGAACUUCCCCCACUUUCUACUCUCUGGGGAUAUCAGGAAUAGCAUCUACAGAGCAGAGUUCAUUAACAGGUUAAUUAGGUUAACUUGUCAGUCAAGGAUAGCUACUUUCCCUUGGCUGGACAGAAUCACCUCAAAACGCCUCUCUUAAGAAACAGGAAAAAUAAAGCAUUGUGUAAACUGGCUUAGAGGUUCUCUAAGAACAGCCUCUGGUUUGCUGGAUGCUGCUGGGUUCCUGCCUGCAGUGUUUAGAGAGAAAUCACAAUUCUUCCCAGGAGCUUUAAACAGCCUAUUCACUUCAUUGCACCAGAUGAAUUAAGAAAGCUUGCCAACUAGGAGGGAGAAAGAGCAUAUUUAUAGCAUCAGUAUCGCAUUCAAGUUCUGUUUGCACAAAAGCCAAUUGCAAGCUGCCUGUGAAUGAAGAUGCAGGGAAUUGACUCUGGCCAGUUAGACAAACAGGAAAUUUCAAAUCAAACCUGAUUAAAUAAGAAAUCUUAAAAUGUUGUUUUUGAUUACUUGCAGUAAGGCAUACUUAUGGCUGUAGCCUUGUCAAUUCCCUGACAAUGAGCAGAAGAGAUUCAUCCUUACAUAAGGCAGUUCUCAGAAAUCUAGGUCCUUUGGAUUACUUAGAAUAUGUUGUAUUUCCCCCCCCCCCCCCGAUAACUUUGGGCAGUUUUUUUUUAGUAAUCUUUAGAAUUCUUAUCCUUAACACUACUUUAGUAGCAUGGGUGUGGCGAGGAUUUAUUUUAGGGGGAGGGCAGGCAUUAUGUUGCGGGGGCAGAACCAAGUUAUCUGCAACACAAUGGUCAGUUAGUUAAGUAUUUUUAUUUAUUUACUUGAUUUGGGUGGUGCGGCUGCACCCCCUGGCUAUUCCCAUGUAUUAGGUAAAGGUAAAGAGACCGCUGACCAUUAGGUCCAGUCGUGGCCAACUCUGGGGUUGCAGUGCUCAUCUCGCUUUAUUGGCCGAGGGAGCCAGUGUACAGCUUCCAGGUCAUGUGGCCAGCAUGACUAAGCCGCUUCUGGCAAACCAGAACAGUGCAUGGAAAUACCAUUUACCAUCCCACUGGAGCGGUACUUAUUUAUCUACUUGCACUUUGACGUGCUUUUGAAAUACUAGGUUGGCAGGAGCAGGGACCGAGCAAUGGGAGCUCACCCCGUCGUGGGGAUUUGAACUGCCGAACUUCUGUUCGGCAAGCCCUAGGCUCUGUGGUUUAACCCACAGCGCCACCCGUGUCCCAUGUAUUAGUAGUUAGUUAAAGCUUUUAAGGAAUGGAGGCUUUACCGUGCAAUACACAAAAAGGCGCAAAGCCCUUAACAAUUCAUUUGAUGGAACAGGUGGGCUGAGGGAAAAGUCGGAAAAUCUCUUGUUCUUAUUUAAUGAUUGACCACUUUUCCUUGGGAAGGAACCAUGUGCAUUUUGAUCUGAUCUAGCCAGGCAAUGAUUAUUUUCUCAAAGAUUCAUUAUUCUGUUUCCAUCAGCAGCCAACCUGAUGCCUUGGAAAGCUGUUGGCCAUGCCCCAUUUGUCCUGAGUGUUUUAUAUUCAUCUUCUUUCUCCCAUAAGCUAAACAUUUCUAGCUGCUUUGUUAUUUCUUUGUAGGAAAGGCACUUUAACUCACUCCCUAGUCCACUGACAGCACACUGCUGGUUGAAGCCCAACUCCCAUUAGCUCCAGCCAGCAUGCUCAGUGGUCAGGGAUGAUGGUAGCUGUAGUGCAAUAAUCAUCCGGAGAGCCAGAGGCUGCCCACCUCUAAAUUAGAGAAAGCACAGCACAGAUAAAGAAAGUCAGAUAAUCCAAAGUGGGUAAAGGUCUCCAGGUAGGUCUCAAGAAAGGAGAGUCUCAACAUGUGGUAUAACAAGCUCCCUUCCUUGGAAGGACAAAAUUUAAUUGUGAAAUGAGUCUGGCUACUUGGGUCCAUUCUGUGAGUUAACAGGAUGGUCAAGAGUGCCUGUGGGUUGUUGUUUUAUAAAUCCAACUGUGGCAGAACCAGAUGGGGCCAAGGACAAUGUGGUGAAAAUCUACUGAGAGUUGCCUUUUUCACUGUCACCAGUAGGUCCGCAUCUUCAGAGAUGCCAUAUUUUCCAUACAGUUGUGCUGCAAUCUUAUAUGCUCUAACUUGGAAGUGAGUCUUUCUGAAUUUAAGGGAAUUUACUUCUGAGUAGAUAUGCAUAUUAUUGAAACCUGCCCAGUGGAACGCCCUCCCAUCAGAAGUCAAAGAAAUAAACAACUAUUUGACUUGUAUAAAAUUUCUGAAGAUAGCCCUGCAUAGAGAAGUUUUUAAUGUUUGAUGUUUUAUUGUGUUUUUAAUAUUUUGUUAGGAGCUGCUCAAGAGUUGCUGGAGCAACCCAGUCAGUUGGGCAGCAUAGAAAUAAUAAAAUGAUGAUGAUGAUUGGGUUUACAAGACAGAAGAUACGUUGCACUAUUAUAAUUUCCUUUGUUGUAUAAAAUAAGUUAAUGUUCAUAUGUCAACAAACUAACACACUUUUAUUAAUUUUGGUAGAUUCACCCCUUGUUUCUCCUUUCUAUUUGUUUGGGGUAGGGUUGUCCUAUUACAAGACAGAAAGAAGGCAUAAAAAGACCUCAAUAAGCAUUAUUUUCUAGAAGUAAUAUCAGUAGCAACACAUAGCAUGGAAAACCAUUUUGCUGCCGCUCUUUGAAGUAUCCAAAUAGUUAGCCGUUGCUGUGUGAUGAGCUGCCUUGUACCAUCAGGAUUGACUCCUUCCUUUCUGGCCAAUCUGCCUUCUAGUCAUAAUCUCUGAAAGCCAUGACUAGAAUUUCGUUCAAGAAGCUGUAGAAUGGAGGGGCUAAAUUGCAAUUCCAGUUAAUGGUACUUGAACCCAUGUCAAAGGAAACCGAUAUUGUGCAGCUGAAAUUGAAUUCAGUGUCUUCUUAUAUCUCAAAUGACUCUCUUCUGUCCAGUUUAUAAGGCACGGCUAGAGGUUAAAGGGAAAAACUGGUUUUCAAUUUGUGAGUGCCUCUAUUUAUUAAGAAUUGGAAGAGGUAGAAAGCAAGUCCCCAGCUUGAAAGCAAGAUAUAUUUUGGGUCCCCUCCAUUUUCUUCACACACAACAGUUUUCAUCUUAAGGCGUAAUUGUCUGCCACAUAAUUAAAUAUAGGCAUUUUGAGGAAAUGUGCUGCUCCUUCUUUACUAAUGUGUGGUUCUGUCAAUAAACAUUACUACAGUAUUAUAUGGUCUGUAGUACUCUGGGUGUUUCUUUUCUGCCAGUUAAUCUGUGGUUUGUCAAAUACAGUGGUACCUCGGGUUACAUACACUUCAGGUUACAUACGCUUCAGGUUACAGACUCCGCUAACCCAGAAAUAGUACCUCGGGUUAAGAACUUUGCUUCAGGAUGAGAACAGAAAUUGUGCUCUGGCAGUGGGGCGGCAGCGGGAGGCCCCAUUAGCUAAAGUGGUGCUUCAGGUUAAGAAAAGUUUCAGGUUAAGAACAAUCCUCCAGAACAAAUUAAGUACUUAACCCGAGAUCCCACUGUAGCUACUCCACACACACACACACAUACACUUUCAUUUUUUACUUCAAGAAACUCUGCCAUCAUUUGCAAUGUUGGGCUUCAUGCUCUUAUAUUUGAUUUGCAGUACAAUAUGUUUUCCCACUGAAAGCGUGCGUUGGUCUGCAUAGGUAUUCUGAAAUUCCUUUUUCUUUGUUUCCUUGUGUUGUUACAGUUUAAGAGGAAAGGAAUUAAUCUGUGCAUAGUGUUGGAAUGAAUUCACGACAGUUUCCUUCUACGGUUAUGGUGAAUUACAGUGGCAAUCUGAGAAGCCCUAUCUAUGCUAUGGCUUAUGAUAAUGCAUCAGCUCCAUUUACAGAAGUAUUGUGUAGUGAGAAUUAAUAUUCAUUAAUACUUUUAAGAAACAGAAGGGGUUUUGCAACACUUGGUCAUACCUAAUCCCAAAUAAAUUCAUACCUUUUCAGAGGCAGUAAUACAUAUUAACUUCGGUUCUUUUGUGUUCUUGUGUUGUGUACAAAUGGAGGGUAAAUGUUCAUGACUGCCUUUGGAGGUAGAGCUGACUUCUGCUUCUUUGUGAGGAGAUAGUUCUGAAAGCAGCAACAUUGGAAAAAAAGUCGAUGGAGAGUCAUGCUUCAAGCAGCAACUUGCUUUUUCAUCUACCUUGUUCAGGGUGGUGGAUCUGGGAAGACGGCCUAGCAUUAAGUCCAAACAAGCUGCUUUGGCAUAAAGUGAGACUUAAAAUUGCUCCUUGUUAAUCAUUAAAUAUAAUUGAAAGAUUUGGGGCAUAAAAAGUUUUGGUGGUGAUAACUAGUAUAAAUUUGGUUGUGUCUUUAGGGGUAAAAGUGAGUAAAUUGUUCUUGUUAUAUUUAUGCAGCUAAUUUCUAUUGAUUGUGGAACAGUAAAUUGUUUCAUGGGUGGUUGUUGUUUUUACUGAGCACUUUAAAUUCUGUAUGUUGACAUAGUUCCUUUGAAAAUACUGUAAAUAAAUACCACAACUUUUUUGUUCAGAUUAAGUCAUAAAGGGUUGCAGAGUAGCGAUGAGAUAACAGUUGCACUCGGGCUCUUAACUGCAGGAUAGCCAACAAUGAAAAAAUAUAAUCUACAUGUUUAAUCAUAGAGGGAUGGAUGGAUGGAUGAUAGACAGAUAGAUUAAAAAUACUGCUUCUCAGACAGGUUUAUUUCUAAAAGUGCAUUUGGUAAGAACUUAAGCCAAAGAGGAAAAGGGAGAGCCAUGGCUCUUUAUAUGAAAACCAUGUAUGUAAACAGUGUACUACUCCUUAAUCAAAUUUAAUCUAUUGCCUUAGAGGAGUGAGGAGAAGAUAUUUUUGAAUGUAAUAAAUCCAAUGAAAAUGCCCCCUCCUGGUGGCAGAAGUAAAUUAAAUCACCAAAGAAUGUGUAUUAAAGUAAUGUGAUGCAGUAGGCUUCUAGCAUAAUGCACAGGGAUUUAACCAUGUGACUCUAUUAAGAGUAAUAGUGCUGCUAUAGCUAAACCUUUCCAAUAACGCAUGGAAAAUUUAUUCCUCUGAUUCUAGUUUUGUAACCACAAGCCCCAAACAACUCAGCAUUUUAUUCAGCUCACUUUCUGAAGAACUCAGUUCUUUUCAGUUAAAAAGCAUAACACAAGUUGGUGUGCUGGUGAAGAAUUGGUUAGAUGACUGCUCAUGAACUAGGUUUAAAUGUCCUUUCCAUUUAAAUGGUCAUUAUUCAAGGGCAAAUGGGAACAAAAUACAUUUGAUCCAUUUACUGAAACCAUUACGGUGCUCAGUCUCACCACUACGAAGCAAGAGGAAAUAUGCUUCACUUCCUGUUUUUUUAGGCUACAUAAUUGGUCCCGCUGGAGUUCAUUACCUAGCCUCACCAAAAUAAGCUUGUUCAGAUGAGAAUUCCUUGGAGGUAAGGGUAUUCUAACAUAACAUAGGAUAAUUCUCUCAAAGCCAGAGUUUGUAUUCUCUCAUGCUUGCACAUGUAAACACAGAGGUUCCUUAUCAUUGAGCAUGCUAAAGUGAAUUGUAUGGUAAAUAUGAUUGUGAGCCUAAUUCACACUUCUACUAGUUUUAUUGUCUGAAUUGUUGUGAAAAGAGCUACAAUCAAAGUAGUGUUAUGGGAAAUGUGUCAAGAAUGCCCUGUUCAGUUCUUACGGUGUCAGUUAUAACAUGCCGAGCUAUGGCUCAGUGCCUGCUGCUAAGUUGUCCAGCAUACUAAUACUCCAUGAUGCAUCAGGAAAUAUCCUACUAUCAGGCACUGCAAUAAGUUCGGACUGUAACUGAACUGCUCUCUGAACUCCUUAGAAAAUCCUCCUUCCCCACCAACACACAUGCUGCUCACGGGUUUAUCUCCUAUUCCAGGAAAGUGCAUGUAUACAUGAAUUUGCCUGUCCAAAGCUGACACAGCUUCUGCAACCCUUAUUCCCUCUGCGUAUUUCUACUUCUUCCUUUCAGUAUGCCUCGUAUUGCUCCGUCAGUGUGGGAUGCUUGGCAGACACAAGUAGAAACUUCCAUGUACAAAGCAGUGUUCCUCUGAAUACGAAAUUAGGUGGAUGGCCAAUCACCUUCAUGCCCUGAUUGUCCAAAGAUGUCUGACUGGCUAGUCUUGGGAUAGCAAUACUGAAUUAUGUGGGCCUUGGUUUGGCCCAACAAGUACUUCCUGGUGUUUUGAAUUGUGCCCUUUAGUAUUUGAAGUAGUUGGAGAAGCUGUUUAGAAAUUUUCAGGCUCUGCCUGGACCGCCUCAAACCUGGAACUCCUGGGAAAUUUUACCAGUCAUUAUUUUACGUCACAGCUGGUGUGACUAUCUGCUCUAUCUCCUGAAAGUGUGGCGCUAGAGGGCACUUUCAAGGGGUCUUAGCAGAUACUCAAAGUUAGCCCUGACAGUAGAUUGGACUAUAAAGAACCACAAAUUAAACAGAUGUUCCUAAAGUAGGUUUUAAAUCAUAUCAUCAUUGUUAAAGAAUUGUGUGCCAUAUUUCUUCAGCUUGCGUGUGCAAAUGCAUUUCUAUUCUCUACCAUUUUGAUAACUAUUGCCCUGAAUCCACAGAUCUGUUCCCAUUGACAUUCUCUGACCAUCUGCAGUUCAGAUGUUGAGUAAAAAGUGCUGUCGUAGUUCCCCCUCCUCUCACAGAUUUAUUUACUCAUAGCUAUUGUGCUGCAUAAGGGAGAGUCACAAGGCCCCGUGUGGAUUUUUCCAAUGUAAUUUUCUGCUGAUUAACUACUGUAACAGUACAGCUUGUGUCUUGAUUCAAUUUUUCCUUAACUGCAUCUGAAAUUAAUGCCCAGUGAUUAAUAUUUUACUGACUUUCUAAAAAGAUGGUCAAAAGGUUCCUGUGAUGUUAAUUUGGUGAAUUCUUCUUUCGAUAUACAGUAUGUAUAAGGCAGCCUUGGGAAAGGGGGUGGGGAAGUAAAACUCUGCUAUCUGAAGUGAAUGCCCAAGGUGUAUCUCAGAAUAAUACAGCCCAUGGAAACCAUCAUGUUGCAUUGGUUAACCUGUGACCAUUUGUGUUAGGCACCACCUGAUUGGAGAGCCAGGAGCAACAAGAUGAUUGGAGAGCCAGGAGCAACAACAUAGCUCCCUUUUUCCAAAAUGAUGGGCAGUAGCUCAUAAGACUUGCUAGUUUUCCAGAUGCAGUUUUUCCACAAGUUCCCCACAGGUUUUCCUGUUCUACCAUAAGAAAAGUGAAGUGUACCUCAGUAGUUUACAGUAGUAGUUUAAAGAAGGAAUGAAAGUGAGAGGCAGCCAUUGUUGAAGCUGCUCUCCAUCCUUGAUCACUGUUGGCAGGAGUAAGUGAGGAGGAUUCAGUGAGUAAGAUUUAACACUUUCUUUUCUCAAAGCUGUAUAGACUAUGGGACUGAAAAGCUUAGGAUUCCAACCACAAGGAAAUAGACCUGGAGCAAUUGCUCCUGUUGGCAUCAUGUAUAUUCCAUACUUACUUCCAUAGGAUAAAACUAUGAUUCCGUAUCUGUACCACCUUAGAAAGCUAAUACAGGAGAUUGUAAGCUAAAUGCAACUCAUCAGAAGGUUGUGCUGUGGUUUUCAUUCUGAAGAUUGAUAUUGUAUUGUUAUGAGCUUGUGCCUGGUGGGGGGGAGCCCCCUGAAUUUGUUACAAUUUAGUAAAAGUUAGAAAUAAUCAAAGUUUGGUUAAACUUUGCCAAACACAGAAACUUUCUGGAUUUGGUAAUGCUAAGGAGCCAAGCCAGCUGGGCAGAGCUACCUGGAUGGGCCAUAAGCAGGGAACAAAAGCUAGUGAUAACCCAUCAAGGAAACCGUCAAGAGGGCAAGACUACCUGACAAAGAGGAGUGGGAGCCCUUCUUUGCUGGGUGCUAGUGGGCAGAGACAAAGGCCAGGUUUAGUGUUUCAACUUUGAAUGACAUAGGCUUUGGGGGGGGGGGCAGAAUCCUUGGAGCUGGUUAGCAAUGAAAAGGAGAAGGGUGGCAGAACUCCAAGUGAGCUGGGGGUGGCAGGUUGAACAAAGAGACACAGAGGGUGGCUUUUUGCUUUCCUUGGAAUCCAGUGCUUCCCUUAUGAGGGAAGGCAGACCCACACAGGAUGUGAAUGCUCUGCAGUCCAGUCCCCCCACCCUCUUGGUGCAGGUUGUAUACAUGUGUAAAUAAAACCAUAUAUCAUAAAGACACCACAGUCUUUGCUGUGCCUUAUUCCCAAAAGGAAACACACACCCUGAGUUAGUGUAUGGGAACCCUGGAAUCUCACACUGCUCGUGGAGAUUGGGGUGGCAUGUAUCGGUAUUAAACAUAAAAGUGAUUUACUAAGCUCUGGCUAUGAGAAGGCCAUGCUAGAUGAAAUCACCGUCUACUGUGCCAGUACCACCGAGGCAUGAGAUCAUGCCAUACUCUUCAAUAGAGCCCAACAAUUGCCUUUUAUACAAAUCUGUGAAUCACCCUAUUGUACGCCCACCACAAUCUCCAUAUGCAGAAUACACACAGUUGGGGUGCAUAGUGAUAAAGUCAAGGCAGGAGAAUACUUUUCUCCUGUGAUUCAUUCAUGCUGCAAUUGUGUCAGCACGUAUUGUCAAGCAAAAAGGACACAUGGCAUCAAUGUGACAGUGUUGCCACGGAGGAGGUUUUUAGAGAAGUGUGUUGGCAUUGCUAGGCACAUGGCUCAUUUAAAUCCAUUUUGAUUUGGCACUUCUGAGUUAGUUAAAUGGUUCAACUAGUUGGAAGGCACAGAGGCAGGCAAAUACAUGCAUUCUAAAAAGCAAUAUUCAUGGUGCCAGUGUGCAGUCAUAAAACUUGUUUCUUUAAUUUGGUUUCCUUAUGCUGCAGAACAUUACAAGUUCCUGCUUAUGUCUUCAUGUUGUAGAUUGCUAUGCCAGGGGGAAAGGAUGGUGACAGUAGAGAGUCAGUGUGGUAAGGUACAUUGGGUUUUCGGUUUAGGGUCACAUCCACACCAUACAUUUGAAGUUCAUGGAUUCCUCCAAAGAAUCCUAGAACUGGGAAGACCUGCAUCCAAAUCCCCACACAGACCAGCCUCAUGAGCUCUCUGGAGAGAAAGAUGGAAUACAAAUGGCAUUCCAAAAAUGAAAUACAAAAAAAAUUAAGGCAGGUAUGUUCAGUUAGAUCCAUUUAUCUGGCUGAUCUAGUGGCUGCUGUUACAAGUAGGGUGCUGGACUAUACGGCCUUUUGUUCAGAUGCAACAGGGCUCUUUUUAUGUCCUUACCACAUGCAGCAAGAAGAGCACGUGGAGACUCUCAGACAUAGCAUUUGCUUAACGGAUGGUAAGCUUUCAAGGACAGCUCUAGUGCAAGAUGUUUUGAAAAGCACAGCCCUAUGGAAUAGGUUAUAUCUGCAAGAUGAGGAAGACUAGGUGAAGAUCUAUUUCACCUGGCUGCCCUUCCUUCUGCACAAAUGAGCAUGGUGAAGCAUGACCAUAUGCAGUUGGGAGACAGGUGACCCAAGUGGAGAAAAGAUGGGCUUGGAAGGGUGCACUGUUGCAAUGGUGUGGGCGCUAUCCUGCAUCAGAAGCAGUAUUUAAUAACAGUUUGGCAGACAAGUGGGAUUGCGAAAUAAAAUGGAAAUUGGUUGUAAUUCUACGUGUACAGAUAUGUGCCAAAAUACGUUGAAAUUGUUAGAAUUAUGCUGAAGUUGUCCAUGGUGUUAGGUGCUAUCUAGUGUUAGUGCGACACUUUUCCAGGGCAGUCGUGCCUUAAUGUCUGAAUUCAAGCCUGUUGCCACCAAAAAGAGAGAGAAAGGCAUGUGUUUAAAAGAGAAAAUAUUCUUACAAAGGUGCCAUCCCAGUCUCUGCUGAGCAGUAACAAGAUUCCAGGGGGUUCCAGGUGCUUGCCCGGGAUUGUGUUCUUGUUGGGACAAUUGAGGCACAAUAGAGACUAGUGACUUUGAGAAAUACAGUUUAUUUUAAGCGUAUUUACACUUGCAGUCUUCAAUGGAGGGGUACCCCAAAAGUGUUUAUCCUUGCCCCUCUUCAGCAAACUUGGGCUCAAAGCACUUAGUGUUGCCACCUGUCCUGUAUUGUCCCGUAUUUCAAUGUAAAAUGCUAUGUCCUGUGUUUAUACUGUUUUGUCCUGUAUUUCAUGUCUUCUCUCUCUCUCUCUCUCUCUCUCUCUCUCUCUUUAGGGAUCCUCCUCUCCAAAUGUAUGUGUUUGAAAGGCUGGGUGAAAGGUCAUGUAUUUCAGCUCUGGGUAGCCAAACAGACAGAUUUACAAGUGUGUGUGUGUGUGAGAGAGACAAAUUCCAGAGGGACCAUCCUGUUAGGCUGCAGUAGAUUGUAAUAGAUUGCUUUGAAGUCACUUCAGCACCAGGCAUAAGAUGGUAAGCUCACAGUACGCAUUAACACUCCAAUGCAUCCUGCUCCCCUGUUGGGUUUAGGAAGAAGGGAACUAAAACAGUAACUUUGGAUUCAGCACAAAUAGCAAGUCAGGUCUCUGUUUUUCUUUCAUUCUUUGUAGUACCAAGUUUGCCUGUUUCUUUUAGUCCUUUUCUUAUACACAGCCUUGAUUACAUCACCUCCAGCCAGCAAAGGGAAGAGGAAGGAUAACAUGUCCCUUUACAGAAAGAUUUUCAGCUACUUGGUUUCCAUGGAAACAUCUUUUGCCCCAAGCUUACAUAACAAACCAGAUACUUAACAGACCUAUUUACCUCACAGGCUAUUUACCUAACAAAGAAGCAAGUCUGACUGUUUUAUAGCACCUUUUCUGCAGGAAUCCCAUUUUACAGUUAUAAAUUCACAGGCAGGUGUCCCCCCCCCCAUCAUAUAGCACAACCUCGGACUCAACACAAGAUAUUAUCCUUUUCUACAAUAAAAGACUGCUUCUUUCAAGUAAAUGUGCUUAGCAUCUGGACAGUAGUAGCAAAUCCUAUUUUACUCCUGUAGUUUUGUUUAUGCUGUAAGUUAUGUGAGUUUAAAAUCUGCACAUGCUCACGGUAUGGUUUUUUUAAAAAUCGGGAUUAGCAAACUUUUGAUAUAUUUUUUUUUGCUCCAACUUUAAGAAUUUAAAAGCAGUUGCAAAGCAUGGAAUGGAGUGUGGUAGAAAGUGGGGGAAUGUUAUUUUUUUCCUAAAGUAAUACACAUGGCUGUCCAAAGCAGGUGGUGGAGAAAUUAAAACAGUGUCUAAAAUUACCUAGCUGCACCAUUGGCCUUUAUUCAAAUCAUUAUUGCAACUACACUCACAACGCUGUCCAGACCUCUGGUUGCUACCUCUCAAAAUGAUACUGUAGACUGUUCAGUUUGAAAAGCAAAUUACCAGGGGGCUCUAGCAACUCCCUUAUGAGGAAAUGUUACAGUAUUUGGAGCUUUUAAGCUUGGAAAUAGUAGAGUAAGCGGGGUGGGGGGAGACAUGACAAACAUUUACGAAGUCAAGUAUGAUGUGGAAAAAGGAGAUAGAGUUUUUCUUCUUUCACAGUACUAUGAACUCAGGUUUAUAGUAAAGGUAAAGGGACCCCUGACUGUUAGGUCCAGUUGCAGAUGACUCUGGGGUUGCGGCGCUCAUCUCGCUUUAUUGGCCGAGGGAGCCGGCGUACAGCUUCCGGGUCAUGUGGCCAGCAUGACUAAGCCGCUUCUGGCGAACCAGAGCAGCGCACGGAAACGCCGUUUACCUUCCCGCCGGAGCAGUACCUAUUUAUCUACUUGCACUUUGACGUGCUUUUGAACUGCUAGGUUCAGCAAAUUGUGGGAGAUUCAGAAGUAAGGAAAGGAAGUUCUUCACACAGCACCAUGGCCACCAGCUUAACUUUAAAGCAGGAUUACAUAGAUUCAGGGAGGCUGCCUGUGCCUCAUGAAUACACGUUGUUAGGGAACAACAGGGAAAUAGGGCUAUCACUUUCAUGUCCUGGUAGGAUACUGUGGGAAACAGAAUGUUGGACUAGAUAGGGCUUUGGACUGAUCCAGCAAGCCUCUCCUUACGUUGAUUUCCUGGUAUUUUGAACAGUUCUGCCAAAGGAAAAAGGAUUAGGAGGAGAGGGAUGGGCCAGCAUAAACACAGGUGGAAAUUUGCUGUUCAGCUGAUUAAAUGGAUAGAAUGAGGAAACGUGUUUGAAGGCCUGCUGAACUCUUAUAAUGUGGAUGACGUAGAAUAUUCCUGUUCUGAAUCUGGAGUCUCAAGACUGCUUGGCUGCAGAAGGAAAACAUUUUCAAGAUUACAGAUAUGUAGAGCAGUGUCUGUCAUUUAAAGCCUAUUUGUUUUUGUAUUGUGUAAAUGAAUACAUACAGAUUUUUAUUUGUAUGCCACCUUAACGCAGUUCAAAACAUGCUCAAGGCAGCUUACAAUGUAUUAUUACAAAAAUAACUAAAGUAGUCAUAAACAAUAAAAAAAAUCAAAUCAAAACAAUUUCCACAUAACUUUCCCUGUUUAGGGAAGUUUUUAAUGUCUGAAGUUUUAUUCUGUUUUUAGUGUUCUUUUGGGAGCCGCCCAGCAAGAUGGGCAGGAUACAAAUAAGAAAAUAAUAACAAUAAUAAUUAAUCAUAACAUCUAAAAUAAUGAUACAAAAAAAUCUAAUAUCAUUAACAGCUAUAACUGUUUCACCACCCACAAUGAUUCUUGAGGCAUCUCUCAUUUUGGGCCGUCUGAGAUUUAGGCUGCAACAUUAUGUGUGAAUUGAAUUCAGUGGGAAGUUUGAGUUAAACUUGGAUAGGGUUGGGCUGGGAAAAGAUGUGUCUGUCACUGCUGCUGUGAAGAGACAACCGCUCAUGUUCAUUUGUGACAUAUGUGCUGUAGCUCAGUCAUAGAGCAUCUGCUUUGCAUUCAUAAACUUCAGGUUCAGUCUCUAGCAUCACCAUGUAGGUCUGGGAAAGGCCCCUGUCUGCAACCCUGGAGAUGCCUGUCAGGCAAGGUAGACAAUACUAUGCUUGUUUGACCAAUUGUCCAACUUGGUGUAAGGCAACUUCCUAUUUUGUUAAAACAUAGCUGUUUGUGUGUGCCUCCUCAAUCAGUUGUUGUUGUUUAGUCGUUUAGUCGUGUCCGACUCUUCGUGACCCCAUGGACCAGAGCACGCCAGGCACAUCUGUCUUCCACUGCCUCCCGCAGUUUGGUCAAACUCAUGCUGGUAGCUUUGAGAACACUAUCCAACCAUCUCAUCCUCUGUCGUCCCUUCUCCUUGUGCCCUCCAUCUUUCCCAACAUCAGGGUCUUUUCCAGGGAGCCUUCUCUUCUCAUGAGGUGGCCAAAGUAUUGGAGUCUCAGCUUCACGAUCUGUCCUUCCAGUGAGCACUCAGGGCUGAUUUCCUUAAGAAUGGAUAGGUUUAUUCUUAGUGCAAUGGCAGAAAGUUUUACUAACUUGAGUAGCUACAGGUUUGCCAUUAUUUCUGACUGUUUCAUGCAUCACUCCUAUUUCAGAAUAUUAAUAAGAAAAAGGGUAUCAGUUUAUUAAGGAACAAGCUCAUUCCUCUAUAAUGCUUAAAAAAACAACAUUACUGCAACCUCCUUGCUUCCCCCAAAUUCCCUGCUUUUAUUGAUUUAUGGUGCACAAUGACUUUAUUUCUAAUUAAUUCUGCUCAGUAUUCUAAAUUAUUUAUAAGCCUACAGUUGUGAUAUACUUUUGUUUACUGCACCACAACUCUUCCACCUGCAGUAAACACUAAAGGACUCAGAAGAGGGAAAAUGCAGUUCAAGUGCUUUAUGCAAACUAAAAAAAAAUGCAGCAUUUUGCAAUUCAUUAAAAUGCUCUUUCUAUGAAUGUAAUUGGAUCCAUUUCAGUUCUGCACCUGAAUAAAAUGUGCAGUGACAGCAGAAGAGCUUGCUGUAUUGUUCAAUUUUAUAUAAUAAUGUCCAGUUGUUCCCCCUUAAAACAGUUUUCAAAGACUUUAAAGGACUUUUUAAAACUAGGUCUUAAUUUCUGAACAAUUUUGGGGCUUGGAGGCAUGUUUGGAAAUCUAAAUUUGGUGUGAGAACCACAAAAUGCCUGUUUAACUUUUUAAAAAAGAAAUGGGAGGGGCAGAGAGACUUGGCAGGCAUGAAAUAAGGUGUCUGAGGGCCUUGUGGUAGUGCAACUAUUACAGGUUUUGUGUGCCAAAAAAUGUUAAUAUUGAUGAAGAAAAAAUGUUCUAACAAUGACAUCCUUUUUCAUGUCAAUCUUUGGGACAUUAAUAGAUAAUCUUGAGUAAUCAUAAUAUAGAUAUGAUUUUUCAAAUGUGAAUUCAACCUCUCUUUAUAGGAAAGAUGUUGCAUAUUAUAUCCCACUGGUUGUUUGUAAGGCUGGUCUCUAAAAAAAUGUAAUUUUGUAUUGAAGCUUUAGGCAACUUCUUAGAAGAUAGAGCAAUAAACUCAGUCUUCUUACCUUUUCAUUUGGUUGUCAGAUGAAACAUAAAGGGAAAGGGUAAAGGGACCCCUGACCAUUAGGUCCAGUAGUGACCGACUCUGGGGUUGCGGCGCUCAUCUCGCUUUAUUGGCCGAGGGAGCCGGGUCAUGUGGCCAGCAUGACUAAGCCGCUUCUGGCAAACCAGAGCAGCGAACGGAAAUGCUGUUUACCUUCCCGCCGGAGCGGUACCUAUUUAUCUACUUGCACUUUGACGUGCUUUCGAACUGCUAGGUUGGCAGGAGCAGGGACCGAGCAACGGGAGCUCACCCCGUCACGGGGAUUCGAACCGCUGACCUUCUGAUUGGCAAGUCCUAGGCUCUGUGGUUUAACCCACAGCGCCACCCGCGUCCCUUGGUGAUGAAACAUAAUGCAGAGCAAAAAUUACUCUUACAGAUCAGCACAAUGUAAGCUAAAUAUAGUCCAACAGUCAUAUAUUGUCCCCUUCCAGGUGCUUGACAAAUCACUUGCUCUUGCAGCUUUGGACAAGCAGCAAAACGUAGAAGUUUAUCAAGCCCCUGAUAUGUUACCACAGUCAGCAUGAUUAGAGUUGUGCAGACCUGCAUUAUUAUGAGCAAAUCUUUCCAUGUUGUUAGAGGGCAAUAACAUAUUUUGGUUGUAUCAAAACAUACAUGCACGUAUGAUUGGAAUAACUGGAAUGGUUACAUGCUUUUGGAGUGCUUUUUAAGCUUGGACUUAAAUUGUGAAGGUUGAGUGGCUAGCUGCCUAGCCCUGAGCUAUCAUGCAGAGAGCUAUAAGAAUACAUUAAGCUUCAUCCCUAGAUUGCAUUUAAGACUCUUACUUAAAUUCUUUGCUGGGUCAGCUCUAGAAUAAACACCUAGCAAGGCUAGCUCCAUAUGCCUCUUAUCCCAGUGACAAUCACAAAGUUUACCAUUUAUUUUGAUGGAUGAAAAUGGCACCUUAGCGGCCUGAUCCAUAACCAAUUAUGUCAAAGUACUUGGGCUUAGAUCAGUUUAUUCUUACAGGUUUCAAGAGCCAUCAUUAGGUGAAGAUUUAUGCCCAUUGAAGCCUAUAAGAACUUAAGGUGAACUUAUCAGUUAAUAGGUUACAGAUUGGUUGUAAAAUAUUUGUGUGCUUCAGUGACCACCAUAUAAAUAUCAGGAAGCAAAUUUCUCUUUGUUUGCUUGCUUAUUUUAAGAGUUUUUAAAGGCCACUUAGUAAAAAAACAAACAACCUCUUACUCAUUUGACGGUGAAAAAUAAUUAUUAAAAAAUAUAGAUAAAAUCAGCAGUACUGAAAUGCAAGUAUACAUAAUAAAAUUACAUGCUUGGAUAGGCUUGCUGAAGUAAAACCUUUUUUUAGCAGGCAUCUAUAGUGAAGGCUGCUGCCUGAGGCAGGAAGUCCAGGACAUGAGUGCUGCCACACUAAAAAAAUCAAGUCUUUGCAGAUGCAGUACGAAUAUUACAUGGCCCUUUAAAAAGUGCAUGCUCUGCAGAUUGACGCAUUUGAUAGUUCUCUGCCUGGGCACUUGAAUUAUCGUAGGACAACGUUAUUACGUUUAAAUUUCUUUUCACAAUGCUACAGUUGCUUCAUACCCACACCCCAGAGAAAGUUACACUGGAGACUAAGGCAGUGAAGUCAGUAUUUCAUAAGUGCACAGCCGGAUGGCAGGCAGCCCUCUCCUUUGACCUGUGACCAUGCCUGUGUGGCACCAGUCCUGUACCAGCAGAGUGCCAAUCUCACCACUGACAGUAAAGUUGCCAGGUGCUCGGUUGCUACCUAAUAUCAUACCACCACCACCCCAUCAUGUCAACAGCGUGCAAAAAGAAUGUGACUUGAAUGUCCGGAAGUAUUUUUAUUAACUUUUCAGGCAAAAUCAGUGGAAACAGAAGAAUGCCUUAAUAAAAUAUUUGGAAAGCAGUUGCCAAAUGGGAAUGCUGUAAGGCAGAUUAAUCUGUGACUUUCAGGGGUAAAUGGUCUGAUCACAAUUCAAGUACAGUGGUGCCUCGGGUUAAGUACUUAAUUCGUUCCGGAGGUCCGUUCUUAAGCUGAAACUGUGCUUAACCUGAAGCACCACUUAUCUAAUGGGGCCUCCUGCUGCUGCCGCGCCGCCGGAGCACAAUUUCUGUUCUCAUCCUGAAGCAAAGUACUUAACCCGAGGUACUAUUUCUGGGUUAGCGGAGUCUGUAACCUGAAGCGUAUGUAACCUGAAGCAUCUGUAACCUGAGGUACCACUGUAUCAGGCUGAGCCCUUCUACAGCUUAUUCUAUAUGAGCACUUGAUAAACCUAGUGCAGCAGGCAGAUUUAAUUACCUGUACCCAUUACACAUUUUUCAGAGUUUACAUAUAGCUGAUGAUAUGGCAAAAAACAACUGGCUGUGGACAAUAUUUCCAAAGGUUAUUGCCACUGGAUUUAAUACAUAUUUUGCCAAAGCAUAAUAACUUCAAUGACUCUGACUCUUUAUUCAGAUUUAAUUUAUCACACAUUAUUAUGCUAGAGCUGCUGAUAUUUUUCCAGCUCUUGUUAUCUUUUGUUGUAGUAUGUUUUCUUAACUUAGUUACUUCCACAGGAAAAGCUGCAGCAGGAAUAUUUCUGUUGCACUUAACCUUCCUUUGAGCAAAGCCACCUCUACUGAUUAUGUAUUUUUUUUUGUCCUACUGCACUGCAAACUGACUUCUUUGUCCUUCACCUCAGGAUAGGUUGCUGCCAAUGUAAACUUCCUUCCCUAGUUCACGAAUACUUAAUGACGCCUAUAGUCUCUUCUAACUUGACCUAAAUUCCUGCUCUUACCAUCUGUGAUGGCCACCACCCUCACCUUUUAAGAUACACCGUCAAAUUAAGCUCGCAUGUUCACUAGUGUCUUUCGAGAAAUAGUGUGAGUGUGAAAGGGUUCCUCAGACCUAUUGCCUCCUUUUGUCCUGAAACACUUCCUACUCACCUGAUAAGUUACACAGCUUUGCCCAUCUAAGCGCCAGACUAUAAAUGCCUUUAACUGCAUGAGUGUAAUUAAAGUGCACAUUUAGUUAAUACAGAGCUGCAAGGGAGCCUGAGCAGCAUGAGAACUAUCAGAUAUGAUGGGGAGGGAGAAUUUUACCCUUUCCUCCUCUCAUGGUCCCACAUCACUGACAUGCAUAUCCACACCAUAAAUUUAAAGUACGUACAUUCAAUGCACAUUUAAAGCACAUGACUUCCCCCGAAGAAUCUUGGAAACUUUAGUUCCACCUCACAGAGCUACAAUUCCCAGCACCCUUAGGAAACUACACAAGAGUUUUUCACAUUAUAUUAAGCUCCAGCUCCUCCACUUGAUUGAGCACCCCAAAGCAUAAUUCUUCAUCCAAACACUCCUCUCUGUCUCUGUCUCUCUCUUUGAAAAGGAGUGUUUCUUCUAUGACACAUGUCCAGGAAUCACACAUUUGAGUAGGAUGCUGUAGGAUGACAGUGUAGUCAGGUGUGAGUUUGUUUAGCUAAUUCAGCAAAUUUUCGACAGUAGAGAACCAGCCUGGAAGUUAUAAUUGUUUUAUUUCUACAUUGUUACCCCACCCUUCUUUCAAGGAGCUCCGAGCUUAGGACUGUGCAUGAUUGUUCCCUUUAUUAUUAAAAAAAUAUAUAUUCAAAAUUGGGGGUUGUCUUAUACAUGGAUAGUGCAAAUUGUGGAUGGCCAAUUGUUGGCAUCCGUGAGCAGGAGAUUGUCAGCAGCGAUUGGGCGUGUGAUUGGUGGUUGCAUCAAGGCGUGCUGGCGAUUGCUGCUGCAGCAAUUGGGUGGGCGAUUGGCAGUGGCAGUCAGGUGGUUGAGCAUUUGUCAGCAAUCAAAAACUCUGGGCCAUCCCCCCCCCCCAAAGCUCAACAACUCUGGGCAAUCUCCCCCUAUUUCCUUAAUUUGGGGUCCCAAAAAAUACCGGUCGUCUUAUACACAGGGACGUGUUAUACACGGAAAAAUACGGUACAUUAGGCUAAGAAAGUGUCUUCAGUUUAACAAGUGGGACCUGCAAACCAUGCUGCUGUUCAGCAUUCCAAGAUACUCCCAUUACAUUUCCUACCCAUUCCUAACCUUAAUGUCCACCCCCAAAACAGUCAGUGCACUUAGUCCUUUGCUUCUUUUUUCCUAACUGUUUUUGGUACUUCUUCAAAUCCUUUUUGCUUUCUUGAGCCUCUUGGUACUUUGCUCUUGUGUGUAGAUGGUAUAACUUUAGAUACUGAAACACCAGCACUCACUCCUAAACAUUGAAAUAAGAGGAGCGAUGACACAUUAUUGUUACUUUCAUUACUGGUACAAAUACUCUGUAAACUGUGUGCUUUUCCACUUAAAGGACAAAAUUCAGUCAAUGGGAUUUGCAAGAACCCCUUUUCCACCCAAAGCCAAUAAAUCAUUUUAUCUAAAACUAACAUAACUCCUUCCCUCUUCAGGGCAUUUCAGGUUUAUCUUGUUAUUUCUCAUACAAUUAUCCAUAUAUAGAAAAGCGAGACUGAAAUGUUUAUUUCUUUAAAGUAUACCAUCUCCUUCACUGCUUAUUCAUCCUCUGAAACUGCAAUCAUCUGGGUCAACAUAAUCAUCUCCAUAGCAACCAAACUGAUAAAGAUACGUGUGUUUUCUUUCCAAAAAUACAGAAAAAAAAGAAUACCCAGAGGGAGAAUUUAUCCCUCCUUUGUUGUGCCUGUUUUCAAACUUUGUUAGCCAAUCAACAGGCAAAAAUAAGACAAUGAACAGAUGAAUUAAACAGUUUGUGAGUAGAGCACAAUUUGUUUUCCAACUUUUCUGGAGAGGGGUGUUUAUAAUGCAGCAUUGCUGGAAAUUAGUUAGAAUUAAUGAGUAGGGCUUAGUUUGAGGUAUAAGUUAAUCUUGUCAAAUGGUUUGACCCAGUGUAAUUAGCAGUGUUGAACAUCUGCUACCAUCAGUUUACUUCCACCUGUUCAUAUUUCUAAAUUGGUCUCAGGCUUCUCCAGUGAUCUGACUGUAACCAGCAGUUAAAUGACCUUUCUUUGGUAACAAUUGGAGGAAGUUGAGAGUGGAAAUAGGAAGGUUCUGCAAUUACAUACCACAAACAUUCUGGAAAUUCAUGUCAGUCUUCUAAUGAAGAUAAUGCACAUCUACUCCGUCACAGUGGGGUUGUUAAAAUUGUUUUGCCAGAAUGUUAAAGCACACAUUUCCCUUUUACUGGUUAUCAUCUGUAUACUAUGAAAAUUAACAGCACCAUGUAUAAGCAGCUUAAAAUAUAGAUGUUUACUUUUUACCUGCAUGUGUAUUUAAGUCAAGUUUCAUAUUGAUAAAGGGAGUUGAAAAGCUAAAGGCCAUUCUGGCAAUUAUUAUUUGUCACAGAACAGGGGUGACGCAUGAAACUUGUGGAAUCUGCAAAACACAUCUGUGUUAUUCCUUUUUGUUGGUGACACAUCUUCAUUAUUCCAUGUGUCAGAGUCACGACAUGAGAAAAUGAAAUAAUGUUAUCUAUUUUUCAACCGCAUCACUAUGGGAAAUGUGCAGACCAAUCUUAUCCAUGCUUACUUGGAAGUAAGUCCCACAGAGUUCAGGGGGACUUAAUCCCAAAGUGUAAAUAGAAUCUCAGCUUUAUUGUCAGCACUAUAGUAGAAAGCUAAAUUUCUGUUAAAGCACAGCACAUGUGACAAAAAUUACUAAAACAAAGGGAAGCAGUGGAUUGCAACUUCUCUCUAGGUUAUUUUGAAAGAAAAUCUGCCCCAUACUGCCUGUGUCUUGACUACAAAUGGAACAAAGGGUUGUUUUUAAUAUGCAAGGCUUCUCAACAAUUAUAUUGAUUGCUGCUUUAAGAGUUCUAAAUGCUAACACAUAGGAUGAAAAUAAUUAUAUUACCAGAUUAAAAUAAAUUAAACCUCCAGUUUUGUCCAGGUAUAUUAAUUGUGGACCCAGUGCCCAUUACUGUUAAAUGGAUGACAUCUGGGAAAUGAUGUUUCCCAGACUUUGACUUCAAAUGUUUUCUAUGUUGCUUGUUCAGGAUUGGGAACUGGAAUAAGUGUUAUGACAGGAUGUAGCCAUGUAGAAUGUGGUAAUUCUUACCCGUGUUUAUUUUAUGUAAUUUCACAUUUUAGCAGUGUCCCUUUUCAUAAAAUCCUUGGCGCAGAAAUUAAUGGCCUGGCUGUCGCAAGUUUGCAUAUGCUCCAACUACACCAGAUGCAACAGCAGGUGCUUUUCUUUUCUUUCCUUUCUUUUUUUAAAUUGGAUCAUAACCCAUUUCCCCAACACUGGAGUGCCAGGCUAGGCAAAACAAAGGACCUCUGAGAUAGCAAGGUGCCUCCAUAUGUCAGGUGCAGAACAGAAUAAAAGCUCAUUGGAAUCCAGAUCUAAGGAAGGAAUAGGUACUGGCAUACUUUCCUGACAAGGGAUCUAGUGCUUAGAAAUUUUGUUGCUUCCCCGACUACCAAGCAGGGAAAGACUGUGCAAAACUUACUUAAUAUGAGAAGGCAAAAUCAGGUUUGUUUGUUUUUUAUAAAAAGUAACAUGAAUAAAGAAAAGAAACAUGGUCCAAACUCUGGACUAAAUUACUUUCUCUAGAUACAAUGACUCUUGUAGCCUUGGAGAGCAAAUUUUAAGUUUGACACCUGCUGAAGAAGUGUAGUUAGGUUACACAAGCUGUAGAGACCAAUGACCCAAAAUGUAUGUUCAGUUGACCCAGAUAUGACAAACUGAAGGCAGCCAGGUAGAUAAUUUAGGAGUUACAUAAACUUUAAUCUUCCAGGUGGUGGAUCAAAGACAUGGUAAUAAGUAGCACAAUUAAGUCUACAUCACAGUUUCUCUGACUCAAAGACUAGUACACAAAAAGGUCAGGCAUAAACAUGGUUGUUUAUUUCCUACUAGGAUUUCCCCUGCGAAUCUCUUAACUAAAAGCAAUUAGAGCUGUAUACAUGCCUUCUCAAAAUUCCAACCCUAUUUGUGGCAGAGAAGUUGUGGGGGGUGGGUGGAAUAAUAAUAAUAAUAAUAAUAAUAAUAAUAAUACUGCAUUUAUUAAUUUAUACACCACUUGGUUGCCAAAUUGAAUUCUAGGCAGUUUACAUGUAUAAAACCAGUUAUAAAAACAUGGCCAUGCAUAAUGAAAAAAUACAAUGAAAUAAUUUCAUCCAACCUUCAAACAUUCAUAAUUAAGACCUACAAUAAACAAAGUGAUUUAAAUAGCAUACCAGUUAUACCAGCAGUUAAAACAAAGCUGGAGGUUCAGUCAAGAGGUCAGGAAUAUUUGUCUAAAUCAGGGGUUAGCAAACUUUUUCAGCAGGGGGCUGGUCCAUUGUCCCUCAGAACUUGUGAGGGGCCAGACUAUUUUUUUUGGGGGGGGGGAUGAACGAAUUUCUAUGCCUCACAAGUAACCCAGAGAUGCAUUUUAAAUAAAAGCACACAUUCUACUCAUGUAAAAACACCAGACAGGCCCCACAAAUAACCCAGAGAUGCAUUUUAAAUAAAGGGACACAUUCUACUCAUGUAAAAACAUGCUGAUUCCUGGAUCGUCCACGGGCUGGAUUGAGAAGGCGACUGGGCCGGAUCCAGCCCCUGGGCCUUAGUUUGCCUACCAAUGAUCUAAAUAGUUGUGCUUUCAAUACCUUCAAAAUUAUCCACGUUUCUUGGGGAUUUGGCUUACCAUUAACAGUUCCAGUAGUACUGUUUUUCUUUCUACCCUAAGUUUUAUUUUUGCUCCCUGGCUGCCAUUUUCCAUCCUCCACAUUUUUGUUAGGGGGCAGGCUUUUGUUGGGGGGGGGCAGAACCUCAGAUUUGUAUUGAUUUUUACUUAUUGAGGGUCAGCUACCCCCUGCCCCCCUUGGCUACACCCACGGGGGGGGGGCACAGGAAGGAAACAAGUUCAGAAGGGGGCUAUGGUCAGAAAAAGCUUGGGAAACACUGCCCUAGAAGACCUAGCAUAAUUCUAGAGCAAUAGAGGAGGAAAUGGUGACAGUUUCGUUGUCCUGGAAUUAUGUUAGGUCUUCUAGGGCAUUGUGGAGGGUGAAAAAUUAUAUAUACUGAAAAUACUGAAGCAAACAAUUGAUCUAUCUAGAUCGUUAUUGUCUAUAUAGUUACUGGCAGGAGGUCUCCAGGGUUUCAGAUGGAAGAUGCAAUGCAGAGUUGCAAUAAAACAUGAUAUCAAACAAAACCAUAAGAUAUUUAAGGUAUUUUCUGUCCUAGGGCAUUUCUGAUAUGACACUCAGCUCUACUUCUCUAUUACAAUUGAACCAAGUGAGGCUGUGCAAGCCCUUAACCAGUGCCUGAGUGCAUUGAUGAGGGCCAAUAUACUAAGCUUGAAUCCUAUGGAGGCACAAUGAGAGUGAGUGAGUGAGUGAGUGAGUGAAUGAGUACCAUGUGUAGGGGAAACCUACUGUGGAAUACAUUUGUAUUAUAAGGACAUAGGUUGAUUGGAUUGUACGAAUCUUCCCUACUUAUUGGCACCUUUGGUAAUUGCAAGGGUUUUUGGUUUGCUUUAUUGUUUAGAUUUACUGUUUGUGCUCCAGGGAUAAGUGGCAGCAGGACGUGGGAAUAUCCACUGGUGGGUCAGCAGUAGGAUGAGUUCCUGCAGGCAGUAGAGCAGCUGCAGAGUUGCUUAACCAUGCUGGCCCUUGUAUACUGGCCUAGCUUAACAGGGGAAAUGAAUUUAGGUAUUAGGCCAGCCAACACAUAGCCGCUAAGGGUUCAGAGUAUAUAAACCUUUUAGGUAGGGUCUGUCCCCCGGAGCUUUGAUGUAGACCCUGACCGAGAUGGUGCUGCGUCUUAGUCAGCUGGAGUCUUUCAGUUAUUAAUCCUUGGACCUCCCAAUAAUUGAAUGGAAAAGUAUUUUCUGUUAGUUUGCUUAAAGACAGUUUCACUGCUUUUUGGUGCUGUAUUUAAGCCUGCAAUUUAAUAAAAGCAUUGAACAAGAAUUGUGUUGUGAUUGCCUUUGAAUCCAAAAGAGCUCCUGCAUUUGGCAAAACACCAUGGACGGGAGAUUGGCAAAUUGCUAUUUCCAGAAAGGGGCUCCACUCCCUCUGGUUUACAGCCUGGGGCUGCUCCUGAACCACAUCUUUUUUACUAGUGGCUAGGAGCACUUUCUGUAAACUUUGGUAAGGCAACUGCAGUCCAAUCUAUGGACUGGAAUAGCUUGGCCACUGUGCUUCAGGGGUCUGUAACCUCAAAAUUAGAUCAUUCCAACAUCCUCUGUGUGGGGCUUCACUUGUGCUUAGUUUUGAAGGUACUGCUCCAAAAAUAUGUAGUGAUGGCCACAAAGGUGCAUGGCUUAGAACAGGAUUUGAGAAUUGAUGGAGGAUAAAGCUAUCAAUGGUUACUAGUUACUAUGGCUGUGUUCCACCUCCACUAUCAGUGGUAGUAUGCAUCUCUGUACCAGCCACAGGGAAUGGGAUUUAGGCAUGAUCCAACAGGGCUUUUAUUACAUUUUUAUUCUAGGUUUGGUUAGUAAAUAUUCCAGCACUGUCUGCAGGGCCGAUUUUAGCCACGUAUGUCAUGAUUGUUUGCAGAAAGGUUCGACAUUUCAUACUUUCUAAGGCUACAAGUAUUAUCAUUAUUUCUGUAAUGGCCAUUCGCAUUUUGAAAUGACAUUACAGGCGAACUUUAAUCUAUUGGAUCUUAGUUGCUUCUGUCCCUCUUAGUUCAGCAGAGCUGUUCUAGCAGUGCUCUGAAGCAUAUAGCCAUGAUAUUUUCAUUCUGUUUCCCAUAAUUUGUUUUCAGUAAAAGUUUGAUUUGCUCCAGGCAGCCAAAGAUUCCCGAGAAACAGAUGGUUUCCCCUCCCCCAAAGCAAAUUUCUAACGUGAGAAAAAAAGAUUAUCAUAAUUGUAAUAUAAUACACUACUCAGCAUAGUAGUGGAGUGUGCCACAAUUCUCGUGUUUUUACUUGCUUUUGUCUCCUCUGAGCACAAAAAGGAAGGAAAGCAACACAGAAUUACAAUUUUCUUCUUGGUGAAAAAGAACAGAUUGCAUUCAACUAUGAGGACAUUUCAAUUGUCAUCGCUGUCGUUAUUUUGUAAUGAGUUCUGUCUAAAAGGACCUAAUAGAGCAUUGUUGGGGGCGGCAUCGGCAGUGCAUACACACUUUUCUGUCACUCAAACAUUUGUUUUCUGCUGUUUUCCCAAACAUCAACAUCGCUAUUUGUCAAGUAUGUUUGUUUCCUAUACAGAAGGAACAGAACGGACUUGAAAUUAGGGUAGCGUUAGAAACUUUGGCACCUGCUCGUGUAGGGAAAUGUGUACAGAACAAUAAGUAACAGAAAUAAAGCCUGUAAAUCACUUUAAUAAAUAAUAAAGGUAGUAAUAAAAUGUAUUGCAGUUAUUUGUUUUUAAAAAGACAUUUAAACUUACGUUAGUAAUACAUUUAUUCAUUGAGAUACUGUCUUGAUUUGUAAGAAUUGUGAAUGGAAAGAGGCUAAUUGAAGGCAACUUUCCACCCCUCUUCACCUUCUUGCAUUUAGUUGUACACCUGUUUCACUUUUUAUAAAAAAAGCUCCAGGAAAUGGGGGGGUGGGGACCCACCUAUAUAGUUGCGUGUGAGGGGACUGUUGGAAAGGAGUGGAGAAAAUCAUCCAGAAUCAAGCAGAGUCAUCUUGCACAAGAGAGUUCACUCACAGAAGUUGCCUCUGUCCAAUUUCGGGUGAUUUAUCACAGCACUCACCCCCCACCCCAUUGCAUGCUGUUGGGAGAGGACCCCAUCCCUCCAUUAUGCACAUAGUUUCCUGGACUUUAUUUCAACUCAUAGGCCUAACAUACUUCAGGCAGUGCUGUUAAUAUAAUAAGUCUUGAGGAAACAGAUAUUAAAGGAAACAACAAUCACCACAUAUUCCUAUUAUAAUUAUACCAGCCUUCUUCUUUUUAUUGGAUUUGGGAUUGUUGUCUUUCAUAUCCCUCUCCCUUAAUUCCUUCUGCAGCAGAAAUAUCUGCAGGCAACAAUUUUCUAUUUUCUGGUUUUUCUUCUCCUUUUCUGACUCUAGUAAAAUGAUGUCAACAAAAGACAGAAUUUCAGUCAUGGGAAUCUUACCUUUUAAAGAGAAAGAUGCUGAAUGUUUGGAGUGGUACAAGCUAACCUUUAAUUAUGGCCAAAUCCAAUCAGCUGCUGUUGUGGACAUAGUAGCUCAAAAUACUAGAACUAAGUAUUAAGUUAGUGCUAGGACAUAACAGUGCAAUGACAUAACUGGCACAUUCAGGCCUAUGAUGGCUAUAUUCAAAUAUCUAAAGGGCUGUCACAGGGAAGAUGGGGCAAGCUUGUUUUCUCCUUCUCUGGAAGAAUAUUGGGAAGAUCUUUCUGACUUGUAAGAGCUGUUUGACCUCAGGGACCCUUCCAACUCUACAGUUCUAGGAAUCCAUGCUUAUCUGGAGCCAGGCUGCAGAGCAAUGAAGUCACAGCUGUGCAUAGCUCUACAUUUUCUUGUCCUGGAAAUAAAAUCUCAGUAGUAGACUGUAAAACUGCUUUCAGAGCUUCUGAACAUUGAUGAGGGAGGGGGCCAUGUGUCUACAAAUCUACCCACCAGCUUUCCAGGAGCAAGUGUGUCUGGUCUUCUUGGUGAGAAGGAUGUUGGGCAGUACACAGCCCUCUCCCUUGAGCUCUUUAGUUGUAAUGAUGCUUAGCUUAGAGAUGUCAGCAAGUUCUCCUAAGGGGAACUUUGCAGGUUUGUUUCCUUUUUUGCCACCAACUUUUUGCUGAGCACUCUUCUCUUCUCUCUGUCUGAGUAUUAGCCUCACCACUAUCUAAAAAAUCUUCAGCUUGUGUCUUAAUUAAUGUAUGCAACGUUCUUUGCUGAAAAGCACACCUUCUCCCAUUUACCAUCUGGUGCUGACUGUUACAGAGCUUCGUUACCUAUAAAGAAAUGAUUGUUGGAUGAAAGGUGACAAGUGCCACACAGAUACGUUCAGUAGCUAGCAAAUAUGACAAGGGAGACUUGAAAAGCUGAUGGCAAAGUAAACAAUUCUGCCUUAGGUGGGUUGCAUUUGAGCAAGAAAUCCCCACCCCAUAAGAAUAUUGCUCUUUAUACAGAAACAAUGACAAAUAAUCUGUCAUGCAUGGCUCCUUUCAGGAACAUUCAAGAUCUUACACCAGUUGUUCAGAAGUGACAAGGACAAGUUUGGCUCCCCCCUCUUGAAUCUCUAAUGGCACUUACCUGACAUGGUUGUGUCAUAAUAACCUUAUUUUUUCCACUUCCUGUUCCACAGUGUUAGCUGCCACAAGUGGAGGCAGGGAUGCUGUCAUGUCAGGACUCACAAAACUUACUCGGAGGAGGGGGAAGAUAAAAAUGCUGUUUAUGGUAACAGCCAUCACUUUAGAGUUGUGUCUAGUUUGGCCCUAAGGAUGGAAUCAUACUUUACCUCAGCAGUGACAUGUUCCCAAACUCAUCUUUGCAAAGAUAUUUCAGUUGCAGAGAAGAUGGACCAUUUGCUGGAGUAUGCUUAUCUCUUUCUGUGUCCCCCAGCCCCCCACUGAAAAUUCAGUCAGACUGAUAUCAAACAGUUAAAAGUGACCAAGUUAAAAGUAUUUGCAAGGAAAAUUAGUGAUUGGGGGAGGGGUUAAGCACUUACUCCCCCAUAAGUUGUUUGUUGUUUAGUCGUUUAGUUGUGUCCGACUCUUCGUGACCCCAUAGACCAGAGCACGCCAGGCCUCCCGCAGUUUGGUCAAACUCAUGCUGGUAGCUUCAAGAACACUGUCCAACCAUCUCGUCCUCUGCCAUCCCCUUCUCCUUGUGCCCUCCAUCUUUCCCAACAUCAGGGUCUUUUCCAGGGAGUCUUCUCUUCUCAUGAGGUGGCCAAAGUAUUGGAGCCUCAGCUUCACGAUCUGUCCUUCCAGUGAGCACUCAGGGCUGGAACCCCUAAAACAACACAUGGGGGAAGCAGAGAGGGGAUCAUUCCAUCUGGCAAGCUGAAAUACUUCUGCACAUGCACCCUAAAUGAAUGUAGUGUUACAAAAGUUUACACCACCCCCAAUCUCUGCCAGCUGUAGCAUAUUACAGCAUGGUCAUCUCAACAGGAGCUUGUUCCCCACUGGAGUCCAAGGCAUUUUUCCCAGCCUGCCAUAAUUAUUCUCUCUCUCUUUUUUAGCUAUUCCAAGCCUGGUGCCAAAGGCCCCAAAUUCUUCCUGUGACAUCAUGCCCAGUUACCCUGGCAAUCUUCCAAAUACCCUGUCUCUGUUCACACUGGAUGUGUGUCUUGGGUUCCGUGACACAAAAAAAGGCAGAAUAUAUAACUAUAAGUAAAUAAGGGCCUAUUAUUAUAAUGGGCUGCAAUGGAUCAAAUCUCCAGAGCCCUCUUUCCGUUCUAGAUUUUUCUGUUCUUGCAAUUGCUGUUUAAAGGUUCUGCUCAGGAAACUUGCAUUACCAUAUGUGCUCAGCUAUGCAAGUCUUGUAAUUGGGUUAAGGACAGGAGUAGAUAUGAUUUAUGUGAUUGAUUAAUUCUGGGCUAUCUGUGGACAUGUAUAAUGUAUAAAAAAUGGGACCAACAGAUAGUUGUAUUUAGAGAAUUUAUCCUAGUUCUGUAUGAGGAGCUUCCACUGUAAAUGAGCCUUUUUUGGCUGAACAAAGAUGAAUACUGUAUACAUGUUACCAACGUGUGUGUGUGUGUGUGCGCGUGCACGCGCACUGUGAUGAAGCUGUUGUACCCUUUUUCUCACAUUUCGGCAGCCAUUUGAAAUUUCAAGCUUUCAUCAUUGCAGUUGUCCUUAAAAAAGAGAUACACUUUGAAAUUAAGUGAACAACUGGCAAAAGCUAAGCAGCUGAGCAAAAGCUUAGGACUUGAGGCUCAUAGAUCAUGAAGUGCUUUUGAAUGCCGAAUAUAGCAUCUGAUUAUUUUGGAGACUGGCAGUCUGAGAGCAUCUUCCUAAAAAGAGAGAAGAGAGAAAGGCAGAAUUAUUUAUUCUGUUUAUGUGUGAAGUACAAGAGAAAAUUUAAAAUGGGAUUAGCAUAUAACUUUCCAAGAAGGAAUAUGCAAAAGAAUUUUUUAAAACCCAACCCUGGUCUAAUUUCAGUUCUCCAACAAUAGUCUCAAGCCAUUAGAGGAGGAGGAUAAUGUGACCAGGCACAUUUCCCCCCUCAGUGUGUAUGAAAAGCUGGCAUGUUUCCUCAUUAGCUGCUAGCUGCCUUAUUCUUCACUGCAAUGUUAUUCUGCAGAAGACAUGCUAAAGCCAUCAAAUUAUACAAAAUCUUAUGACGGUGGUGGUUUGAAGAAAGAAAACCCCUAUUAUAUUGCUAUAGAUUCCCUUCCCAUAUUGCGUUUUAUGAUGCUUUCUACCAUAACAGGAACAUUCAGUGGCUGCCUUCUAAAUCUACAACCAGAUAAUUAGCUGGCAUCAGAAUGGAGCAAAGAAUCCUGCUUUUAAUGAUUCUAACACUAUAUUAAUUUGUUUUAGUACAAUUCCGCUGAGACAAAGAAAUCUGGAAACACCAUGGACUACUGUAAUGCACUCUAUGUGGGGCUACCUUUGAAGGUGACCCGGAAACUACAAUUAAUCCAGAAUGCGGCAGCUAGACUGGUGACUGGGAGUGGCUGCUGAGACCAUAUAACACUGGUACUGAAACAUUGGCUCCCAGUACAUUUCCAAGCACAAUUCAAAGUGUUGGUGCUGACCUUUAGAGUCCUAAAUGCCUCGGCCGAGUAUACCUGAAGGAGCGCCUCCACGCCCCAUCGUUCAGCCCAGACAUUGAGGUAUAGCGCCGAGGCCUUCUGGCAGUUCCCUCACUGCAAGAAGUGAGGUUACAGGGAACCAGGCAGAGGGCCUUCUCAGUAGUGGCACCUGCCCUGUGGAAUCAUAGAAUCAUAGAGUUGGAAGAGACCACAAGGGCCAUCGAGUCCAACCCCCUGCCAAGCAGGAAACACCAUCAGAGCACUCCUGACAUAUGGUUGUCAAGCCUCUGCUUAGAAGGAGACUCCACCACACUCCUUGGCAGCAAAUUCCACUGUCGAACAGCUCUUACUGUCAGGAAGUUCUUCCUAAUGUUUAGGUGGAAUCUUCUUUCUUGUAGUUUGGAUCCAUUGCUCCGUGUCCGCUUCUCUGGAGCAGCAGAAAACAACCUUUCUCCCUCCUCUAUGUGACAUCCUUUCAUAUAUUUGAACAUGGCUAUCAUAUCACCCCUUAACCGCCUCUUCUCCAGGCUAAACAUGCCCAGCUCCCUUAGCCGUUCCUCAUAAGGCAUCGUUUCCAGGCCUUUGACCAUUUUGGUUGCCCUCCUCUGGACACGUUCUAGUUUGUCAGUGUCCUUCUUGAAUUGUGGUGCCCAGAAGUGGACACAGUACUCCAGGUGAGGUCUGACCAGAGCAGAAUACAGUGGCACUAUUACUUCCCUUGAUCUAGAUGCUAUACUCCUAUUGAUGCAGCCCAGAAUUGCAUUGGCUUUUUUAGCUGCCGCGUCACACUGUUGGCUCAUGUCAAGUUUGUGGUCAACCAAGACUCCUAGAUCCUUUUCACAUGUACUGCUCUCAAGCCAGGUGUCACCCAUCUUGUAUUUGUGCCUCUCAUUUUUUUUGCCCAAGUGCAAUACUUUACAUUUCUCCCUGUUAAAAUUCAUCUUGUUUGUUUUGGCCCAGUUCUCUAAUCUGUCGUUUUGAAGUGUGAUACUGUCCUCUGGGGUGUUAGCCACCCCUCCCAGUUUGGUGUCAUCUGCAAAUUUGAUCAGGAUGCCCUUGAGUCCAUCAUCCAAGUCGUUGAUAAAGAUGUUGAAUAAGACCGGGCCCAAGACAGAACCCUGUGGCACCCCACUAGUCACUCUCCCAUCAGAUGUCAAGGAAAUAAACAACUAUCUUACUUUUAGAAGACACCUGAAGAAAAUCCUGUUUAGGGAAGUUUUUAAUGUUUGAUGUUUUAUCAUGUUUUUAAUAUUCUGUUGGGAGCUGCCCAGAGUGGCUGGAGAAACCCAGCCAGAUGGGCGGGGUAUAAAUAAAAGAUGUUAAUAUUAAUAUUAAUACUAAUAUCAAUUCAAAACCAUUUACUCUGAUUGACCCCCUUCCCCACACCACAUUUGUUGCUACCUUAUGCAAGCUCGAGUCUCAACAUAGACAACAAACAUCUAUAACCCUUUGCAGGGCUCCAAUGGGGUGGGUGGGUAGAGGGGAUAUACAUUUACUGGGCUAGCAGACUUAGCUUUCUUUCUUUCUUUCUUUCUUUCUUUCUUUCUUUCUUUCUUUCUUUCUUUUAUUAAGUCCAUAGGACAUUUCUGAAGAAAGAGCACCAUAAGCAGAGGUAGGCAGCACACUUGCUAAGGAUGUUCAGUGACUUAAUCACUGCUGCUAGGUGAUCAGGGAAGAACUGUUGACCACUUCUACCUGGGACUCAGGAGGGAGCCAUCCUGGAGCAGCAAAAAAACCCAGGAGAGGCUCUUUGCUGCCAGCCUGAUGCUGGAUUGAGGAGGAUACUGGGGUGUGUUUGCUUAAGCAUUUUCCUUUGUGUCCAGAUUAUUUCAUUUAUUCUCAAAGUGUGCUGUCUUUACAUUGGUUGGUUGACCUCCAUCUGUUUCAGGAGACAGUGGAAAAGUGAUAAAACACAAUUGUCUGGCUUUGGUAUGUUUUACUCAAAAGUAACUCCCUUGAAUUAAACUUCCUUCCUACUUAGAGAAAAAAAUGUUGCUUUUGCACAAACUAACAAAAAUUCGAGCUUUGACAGUUCCCCCACUCAGCCAGCCACUAUUGGUCUGCUUACCAUCAUCAGGCUGCUAUUUAGUAAUAUUCAGUAACCAUAAGCAAAAUUAUACAGAAUGAAUCAGCAAACACCUUACAGCUACAGCAAGUUAAAAUCCCUACAUUCUCUUUGCUUACAGACAAGUGUGGUGCAACAAGGGCACCUCAUCCUACUGACCCAUUAUCACCUUAUGUACAGGAAACUGGCUUUGGCCGCCUCCUGGCGAUGAUCAUAUAUUGAGCUAAGACUUAGCAAUGCGAAGUAGUACCAUAAGCAGCUGUAUUAUUCUGAAAGGACACAGAUCCUUUCUAAUUUAUGACUUGGAACAGAAAUAUUAAGUGGACCAGUGGUGACCAAACCUCUUGGCCACUGCAUCUUGGGCCAAGUCUGAGGUGUCUGAUACUGCCACUUUAAAAAUCCUGUCAACUGCAACUCUCUUUUUCCUGCCACUCCAGCACUAUGGUGCAGCAAAAAUUAGUUUUAUAACUUUUUCUUUUGUUUGCUAUUUGCCAAAAAGGCUGGCACAACAGAUGGAAGGGAAGACAGUUAUUCUGUUAUUUCUUCUUAAUGUUUGCGCGCGCGCGCGCGCACGCACACACACACAGAGUAUUUUCCCGUGUAUAACACGCACCCAUGUAUAAGACAACCCCUAUUUUUGGGAGUCCAAUUUAAGAAAAUGGGAGGAGAUGGCUCAGAGUUGUUGAGCUUUUUAGGGAGGGGAUUGCCAGAGUUGUUGAGCUUUUUGGCGGGGCGAGGGGGAUGCAAAAAAAACAACCCUCACCCGACUGACAAAGGCUGCCAAUCGCACACGAAGCCAAAACUGCCAAGCGUCUGCCUGCUCACAACUAUGGACGACAAUCGUAGGAACAAUUGUUGCAGUGGCAGCCAAUCCACAACAACCCUUGCCGCAGCCACCAUUCACCUACACAAUUGCUGCUGACAAGCUCCUGCUUGCGGCUGCAACCAAUCUGCACUAUCCAUGUAUAAGAUGACACCUGAUUUUGAACAUUACUUUAGAGUAAAAAACCCCUCAUCUUCUAUAUGGAAAAGUACGGUAGUUCAUGUAUUAUUAUUAUUAUUUUUUGAAAAAAAUGCUAUCAAAAUGCAAAAGAUAUUGUGUGAAAAUGACAGACAAACGGAAGUGAGACAAUAGUGGUCAGAUGAUUAGGAGCUGAAUCAACAUAGCAGCUGUUUAAGUAUUGUCAGGUUUUGUUUUUGCAUCCUGCAGCUUCCAAAAGUGUAACUAUGGUAAACAAAACACUUGUGCAAUUAUCAUUCCUGUGAUAAGUGUGUGUGUGUUUGUGUAAGUAGUGUUUUCUCACUAUGCCAAGCUUAUCUCUGUCUAGAAAAAAAUAAUGAAUGAGCCUUCUCAUGUUAGUGAUAGCACCACAGAUCCUUAAAGGGUUCCCUAAAGAGUCCAGAUGUGUGAGCUUUGCUGAUGUGAGAAGUUCUAUUGUAAGACGUCCAGCAGUUUGGUACUUCCUGCAAGGUACAGGUAUAGGAUAAUUUUAACUUAACCUGAGGGGGGAAAGUCACAGAUGGGUGGUGAUUAAUGCUGCUUUGUUCCUCAAAGUGUUGAUGUGGCAAAGUGUCCAAAUGCCAUUGUUUUCUGCAGUCUCAGGGCAACCAUUAUAGUUGCAAAAUUAAGCAUACUCUUAAGUGCUUUGUGGGACUGUGCCUCAGAACAGAUAAAGCUUUGGUAAAAACUGGUUGAGGAGUAGUGGGGGGGGGAGUCUUUGCUGAGCCAAUUUGUGUCCACAAAACAUAAUGCAGGGGCCUUGUAGAGUGUGUGUGUGUGUGUGUGUGUGUGUGUGUGUGUGUUUGUUUGUUUCUUAGAGCUUUUCUCCACAUGGAUUUCUCAUCUAAAAUAAAUUAUUGGUUUAAGUGUGAAACAAGCAUAAGCCCUUUGAAGAUGACAGGCCCGGGAAAGCUGAUCUCAACCAGACUUUCAGGGACAAGUGUCCAUUUGUCCACUAGGGGCACUGAGUUGGCAUCUAAGCCCUAGCCAUUGUUGUCUCUGAUGUUGUCUGGAGAGUCUGAUGGACAACUUGCUGGACUCUUUAAGAUACGAACAAUGACCAUUUUCUUGGCAUAAGUUCUUAAGGAAGGACUGCCAUAAAAAAGAAGGCUGGGCCUUCUAAGGCGGUACAUCAUAGCAGGAAAAUGGUAAUGCUUUUUUUACUGGAACUGGAACAUAGCUUGGAAAACCCAAUGACUGUCAGAACUUUAAAAUUUGUCAGAAGACCCCAGACUGUGGAGGCUCUUGCACUAGAGCUACUGGGGGCAAAGCACAUAAAAAAAAAUAUCCUGUCCACAGAUGUGCAAAGAAUAAUUGGUGUCUUUUAAUGAGGAGAUAAUGGCACUCAGCACAUUUAUAAUGACACAUUUCCUGUACGGGUCUCACUGUGAUGAAGGCAGCAAGGAUAAAAUUGCAGCCCUACCAAGUCAAAAUGUUACCAGCUGCCACCAGACCCCAUGAUGUGCCGCAUCAAUAAAUACUUAAAACAAUAAUAGUAAACCAUAGUGAAAUAUCAGCAGUUGGUCAGUACACAGGCCAGAGUCUCAGCAUUAAUGCACAGGGAAGCCCUCAGCAUUAUUUUUUUUUUGGGGGGGGGUGUUGUUAGAAAUUAUUUUUGUUUGAAGUUUGCUUGUUUAUUAUUCCAUCAACCUAUUUAUGUACUUUGGGCAUUAUGCUUCCAUAUGUUUAACUGCUAGCCCCCAUGUAAUAUUUUAGUUUUGAAAUAAAAAACUGAAAAUUAAUUUAAAAAAUUAUGGAGCACUUUGUCUAAAUAAAGACCAUUUCGUAUUCUACUGCACCAUGACUACUAAAUAACUCCCUGCCUGUUUUAUUGAUUGAUGGUCCUAGGCAUGAGCAGGAUCAACUUCCUAGUUCUUUGAUGUGGUAAAGUUUCAGAGUCCAGGUUCUAUACAAGACUACAGAAAAGGUACAAUGAAUUUGAAGGAUGUUGUCCUAAGACCAUCUGUGUGUAAACCAGAGAAACUAAAAUCUAAUUAAGGAUUGCCACAGCAGGCUUUAUGACACCACCACCCGCAUGAAGAAGUAUGGCAAUAACCUUACUGUCUCAAAGAAAAGCUAUAGGGAGCUUCUGAUUCUACCCAGAUGCCACUAAAUCCAGUGCCACCUAGUGACUAAAAUAUAUAAUGACACUAUACAUAAGCACAUUUAGAAUAACAUGCUAAUUCUGGCCCUUUUGCCAUAUUAAUGAGUAGAUAGAUAAAUUUAUUAAGUUUAUAUCCCACCUUUCCUCUAAGAAGCUCAAUAAUGGUGUACAUGGUUUUUCUCCUUCCCCUUUUGACCUCACAAUAACCCUGGGAGGUUGGUUAAGCUCAGAGACAAUGACUGGCCCAAGGGAUUUGAACUCUGGUCUCCCAAGGUCCUAGUCCAGCACUGUAACCAUUACACUACACUGCCUCGCUACCAAAACAUGCCCAGUUCCCAUGAGUAACAAUGGCAAUCUGUAAACAUCUGAACAGUUUCACAGUCAGAGUUGAAGAUUAACAUUUGCGCCUACUCCCUUUCUUGGCCAAAAUAUUCAUUCCUGCUUAAUUUUUCUUAUUUAUGCAAACUUCUGUCAGCAUUUGACAUGGCUGGCUUCACCAGAGUGUUUCUGAUGCUAACAAAGUGUUUCCAAAAGGGUUUGAGGGGGGAAAGUUAUAUAUUUCCUGUCAUUUAUCAAGAUAAAUUGGUUUCAUUGCUUUGUGGAAAAGACUCCAUCAAUUUAUAUGAAAGUGAAGAAAGAGGAGGAGGGGAACUUUUUAUAUGUGAGGAUUAAAUAAUGGCUUUCCUUAGCAGAUUUUUCUUCACUUUGCAUUCCCGAUUAAAAAUAUCUAUUUUAGUUUAGUCUUUCAAAAUGAGGAAAUGGGUCUGUGGUUGUUCGUUGUAAUGUUGGUGCCACGCACAGCUUUGUUACUAACGUUUAUUUAUUGUGCAUAUCUUAGCUUUAUAAAGGAUAGGUUCCAAAAAGAAGAAGACAAGAGCUAGCGCAUUUGAAUAAUGUAUCUGACAUUUCUUAAUACAGGGCCAAGAACUUGGUUUAUCAUACCUGAAAGAACAGAGCAUGCAUGAUUUCCACCUAGUGCUGUUCCCAUGUCUCCUACAAGCCAUUCAAGCUUUGCCAUUAAGAAAAAUGUCACUUACGUUUUUUUCUCUCAUCAUAAAAUUAAAAAUUCAAAGUCAAUCUCUUUAGCAUAUGACAUGGAUCAAGGGGAAAAGUAAAUAAAGAACUUCAUUACUAAGUAAUUGUAGGGCUCUGCAAUUUAGUUUGAUCAUGAAUGACUGUACUUUUAUAUAGUUAACCUUUUAAAGAUACUUUUGGCUGGUGUGUUCUGCUUCAGCAUAAUCUAGGUGACCUUUUUGGUCAUGUUGCUCCAUAAGACUUUGAAUUAACAUUUGUUCUCAUAAGGUUGUAUUUCAAAACUUUGAUUCUUUUAUUGGGACUCAGCCUGUCCAAUUGUAGUUUCCAGAGCAGAAAAACAAACUGCCUUUCCCUUGUCUUUUCAAGUGGUGGGAUCUGCUAAGAUGAAAAUAACAAGCAAAUCUCUGGCUCUGCAUAUGGUUCUCUCUACAGUAUAUUACUUCUUUGUGUUACAGACACUAGCCUAGCCUUUGACAAUCUGGUGCCCUAUAAAUGUUUUGGACAGAUGUCUUGUCCAAGACUGAUGUGGAUUUACCAUGCCAAACACCUGUAAGUUGGUGAAGGUUGCACUAGCCCAAUCUAACUAAAGUUAUCCAUGGCUAAGUUUUAUUCAAACAAAUAGAAGUCAGAGCAACCUUAAGUAUUUUUAUUAUGGGACAAUAAUUUAGUCCUUGGUCUUUAUAACUCAAGAUCCUUGAGGAAGGAUUAGUCUAAAAAAAAUAAAUUCAAAACUCUUUUGAACAGUAUCUUCACUCCUUCCCCUGCAAAUAAUUAUGUUCUCUAAGAAUUGGGGAGUUCUUAUUGGGAUUUGCACUAAUUCUGGUGUUGGCAUGCCCAUAACAUUGCUUUUCAAGGGCUGCAUCAUACCUUAUGUUCACCAUAGAGAUGUCACCGAAAGCAGUGUUCCAUGACAGGCUAUCCACUACUAUCCUAAUCGUUAGAAUUACUUGCCACAGAGAACACUCUGUAGUAUAUCUGUACCAUAAUUGCCAGGAUCAUUGAAUGGUGGCACAAUGAAUGGAGGCACGAUGGAUGUACUUCUUUCAUAAAAACAUAGGAAUAGCUACCAAAGUCAUGAAAUAUAAAGCUAUGAGUGGUUACUGUGAGUGGUCCACCUCUACCAUUGGAUGCAGUGUGCCUCUGAAUGCCAGUUCAUAGGAAUCACAAGUUGGGAGAGAAGAAGAAGAAGAAGAGUUUGGAUUUGAUAUCCCGCUUUAUCACUAUCCGAAGGAGCCUCAAAGCAGCUAACAUUCUCCUUUGCCUUCUUCCCCCACAACAAACACUCUGUGAGGUGAGUGGGGCUGAGAGACUUCAGAGAAGUGUGACUAGCCCAAGGUCACCCAGCAGCUGCAUGUGGAGGAGCGGAGACGCGAACCCGGUUCCCCAGAUUACGAGUCUACCGCUCUUAACCACUACACCACACUGGCUCUUAGAGUGCUUGCACACUGCCAUGGGCAUCUGGUUGCUACUGUGAAACAGGAUGCUGGGCUGAAUGGGCUGGCCUGAUCUUUCAGGCUCCUCUUAUGUUUUUUAUGUACUCCGUGAAGCAAGUAGUUCUACAUGUUCUAUUGGAGAAUUCAAUUAAGGAUGGCCUACAGUAUUUUCCAGCCCGAAGCCUCCUGCUAUUUCACAAAGACGGACGUGGGAGUAAAGGUAAUGCCAGCCACACUACCUUGAAAGUGGCCAUGACUUCAAUAACAGCUUGAUUGCUCCCCUCCUAUUGGGCACGCCUGUCCAUGUGAUGCCGAAGGCACUCUCCUCAUAUGAGAGACCAACUUGCAUCUUCUCCCAAGAAAGGGGUAGUAUGGCAAAUUCACCCCUGCUAAAGGGCAGGAGUGGCAUAUUCUUCAGAGAAGAAGCGAGCCUCUUGUUUUUGUGGAAAGUCCUGUUUUAAUAGAGUUCAGAGGAAUUACUACUUCUGAAUUAGAAACACCAUGUUAGAAUAAAGCAAAACGAAAAGAGUGUGUUCUUGACAGCUGGAUUUAUUUAUAGCUUCUGGUCAUUUAAAUUAUCCACACAGCCUGAAAUCCCCAGCCUUAUUGCACCUCACAGCCAUAUUGAAUUUCAUCCAGCUGAGACGCACUGAAGUCUAAGUGGUAUAAUAAAAUUCUAAUCAUGUGUAGCAUUACGUAGCAAUAAAGCUGAAAUUCUGCUAUGUGCCGUUGCCCUUUUGUCUCUCUAUACAAGUCCCUUUGACUAAUUUUAGACAUCAUAUUUCACAGGUAACCCUUGCAAAGAAUGUGCAUGAAUUCUUAAAACUGAGCUGCAUGUUAAUUUCACCUUAAAAACUUAGCUGGUUUUUAACUAUUUCCCAUGAGCAGUAGGAUUCAGGAGUCUGCAGUUUGCUGUUGAUGGGGAAACAAGCCAGGGUGUGUAUAGUAAUGUGCAGAAACAGCCACAAGAGCAAUGGCUCUCUCUCUCUCUCUCUCUCUCCCCCCGCCGCCCCCGCCCCACGCCGGGCCACAAUUUCAGAAUAAAAAUCUGCUCACACAACACUGAAUUUUUAAUUGAUAUAAGAAAUACAGUGGAAACAAAAAGAAACAACUCCUAGCAGUGCUUGAAUAAUAACAUAGGACAUAACUGCUUUAUAAUGUCAUGGGCAGCGCUGCAACCCCAGAGUCGGCCACUACUGGACCUAAUGGUCAGGGGUCCCUUUACCUUUAUGAUAAUAUCAUCCAGAAAGUAUAAAACAGUGCAGCUACAUAAGAACAUGAAUCAUUCCCAAAAUAUCCAGAUUCUAAAAAAUAAUACUACACCAUACUGAAAGGUUGAUAUUUUGCUUUGUCCUUGAAUCUUCCCACCACACUUGCCAUCCUCUCCUGCCACAACAGAGAUGCACACCACAGCCUUUGAGAACCACUGCACUAAUUUCUGAUCUGCUGUUUUGUUUGUCCCAAUUCAUGCCACAUCCUUCUAAAAUGGUAUAGAGGGUUGCAGUUAUUGUUUACUUGUGACCAAGCAGGAUAAAGUCUGCAAUGGCUACAAUCCUAACCAUGUCUACUCAGAGGUAAGCUUUAAUGUAUAAUAGGUUAUUGUAUUUUAGUGUUUUGUUGGAAGCCACCCAGAGUGGCUGGGGAAACCCAGCCAGAUGGGCGGGGUAUAAAUAAUAAAGGAUUAUUAUUAUUAUUAUUACUACUACUACUACUACUACUACUACUACUACUACUACUGAAUUCAGUGGGGCUUAGUCGCAGGUAUGGAUUGCAGCUUUUGCUGUUCCAGGCCAAGUGUCUCUGUAUCUACAUAUAUAAAAAUGGACAGACAAUAUCAUUACGCUCAGUUGCUUUACACAAUUGUCUCAAAGUGACUUAUGUGUACUAGGAAAAUACACAAUGCAACAUAUAAAAAGCAAGAUUAUUUAAAUGUUAAGCAGUAUUCAAGGUAAACAAACCAUAAAACCAAUUGCUCCAACCCUUCACAUAAGUCUAAUGGUCACAGAGAGCUGCAACCCAUUUUUUUCUGCAAAGAAAAGACUAACACGCAAAUGCCUGAAAGAAAAGACAAUCUUUCGCUAAAAAUAUGUCAGUGUUGGCUCCAGGUAAGCUUCCCUGGGGAUAGCAUUCCAUAGAAGGGGAACACUGCUGAAAAGGCCCAUAAUUCCCACAUCAGACAGUUGCCAGAGCAUAGCACUGGUUAAAUAUGAAUGAUAGUUUCUACCAGGAGGCUUUUUGUGUUUUUUUUUUACCUCUUAUUUUGUUGGGAACCUAGCAGUGGAUUUCCACAGUAUUCUGCUGAUGGGAUUCUUAGCUUUAAAAUUUGAUUCAGAAAGCAUUUUGAAAUGUUGCAAGGUAAAAAAAACUACUGUGGUCCCUCCUGAUAUGCUUCUCUCUGCUUUUCUGGAUGGGAUCUGGAAGCUGAGACUAAAAUCUGCUGCAUGUUUGGCCUCCAAAAGGGUAUAGUACAAAAUCCUUUGGAACUUAUUAACUUUCACCAAUGUUGAGGACACGUGACUGGGGUUUGGAGGAGGAAUAAAUGUGGCAAUUAUCUCCACCUGCCGAUCUGGGUAGUAUCAUUCAUAUAGAAAUGGGAGGAACAGGAAUGGGACCUCCUUCUCCAGGGAUAGCAGCAGCAGGAUUACACUUGCUGAGCAAGGGUUGGGCAUAAUCCAAAGAGAACUCUCUUUUAAAAAAUUUAAUCCAGUGGUCCAGAGUGUUUAUAAAAAGAAUUCACCAUAAACUAAACACUGUACUUCAUUGUAAUGUUCCCUUGAACAUUUAGGGAAUGGUAAUAUCUAAGCGCCUUUGGGAGAAAGGUUAGGAUAUAAAUUUAAUAAAGUAAUAUCUUACCAAACUGAGAUUUCAUUUUGUGUAUUCCCAGUUGGACAGGUUGAGUCCUAUUGUGAAAAGUGCACACACAGGUGCUGGAAAAUGUCAGCAAAUUAAGCAGUGCUUCCCCUUCUGCAGUCGAAGGCAGCCUGAGAGAUGCAGAGGGGUCCUGCUCAAAAAACGGCUCAGAUGAAAAUAAAAAAUACAGGUUUUCACUAUUUCAUGUAAUAUUUCCAGAGGUCCCUGUUCAAAAACAAAUGUAUAAUUACAGCUUUGAUUAUUGAUGCUGCUUUAUUUACCCCUUUGUACUUGGUUGCCAGAAUUGCCAAUAGUGCCUCUAACUGCACUGGUUUCAUUUAUGAACUUAUGAUUAACAAAACAAGUCUCUUAUCUGAGACUUAUGCCAUUGCACAGUUUAUAUUACAGCCACUACAGUCAACUGAUAUCAAGCUGAUGUGAACCAGUGUGCUGUCACUAUGUCAAAUUGCUAUACUGAUUCAUCCUUGUUCUGAUGUCUAAAUAGUUUUAAGUCAAAUGGGGAGGGAGGACUCUCUCUCUCUCUCUCUCUCUCUCUCUCUCUCACACACACACACACACACACACACACCACAUUCGUUCUUAAAAUCAUAGCAGAUGAGUUCAAAGAUACUGCAUUACAUAAUUUCCAAUGCUUGUUUUGAAUUCCUGGGCCCUCUAGGAGCCUCUGGUAAUGUUUUUCUGGAGGCCAACUCUCUUUCAUCCAAUAAUUCUCUUAUGUAAUUUGUGUGUGCACGUAUAAAAUGUCAUUCCAGAGGAAAAUAAUCAUGGAAUGAUUAAAAGGUGAAACUGAAAUACUAUGAAAGAACAGAACAGAAGGUAUUUCACUCCAAGAAUUCAAUGGGGCAAACAGAAAAUGUCCUUGUGCACACUUCCAGUUCCUUGGCGCAUCCAAAAGAGAACUGUCUCUCUCCAGUGGAGUGGAGGUGUGAUAGUUUAAUUUCAAAUGAGGUAGGAAUGGGGAGGAAUGAAAAACCCAGAAUAUGAAUGUAUUGCUACAGCCAGAGUCUGUUAGUGAAUAUUAGGAAUUAAUAAACGGUAGGAUUUAGAUAAUAUUUGAUACUGCAAUAAAAUAUAAUUUAAGAUCAUUGAUCCCCCAAAAUGCAAUCAAACAAAUAUCCUAUUUAAAAAUAUACCUUCAACUUUCUUAUGUCUAUGUCUCACCAAUAACAUAACAUUUCUUUAUUGUAUUUUACAUUUUCUUGUUCCAAUAAGAUAGGAACAAACGUAGUUUUCGGAUAAAUCUGUGGUCCUGCCGUCCUUGACCCUGAUUAUGUUUGUUACUUUUAUCAUCUGUGCUAAGUCCUAGACCUUACUCAGCCAAUUUUUUUUAAUCCAGGAUGUUUUGGUCCAUCCCCCACCCUGCUCCUGGCAUAUGGUCAUUCAAAUGGCAGUUAACAGAUGAAUUAUAAUUUCUUGGUCCUCCUAAAGUCCUCUUUAGCAUAGCCAAGUAAUAUUAUUAAAGGGUCCCUUGGUUGAUCAUAGCCUGCAAGUUCUUCUAUUAAUAUUUUAUCCCAAUAUAAUUUGAUUUUUGGACAUGACUAUAAAAUAUGAAGAAAGCCUUGCUUUUGAGCAUUUGUUUUGUACCUUCAUUACUCUUCAGAGACUAGAUUGCUUUCCCCCACCCCCACUUUCUGAAACAGAGAGCUCUUUAAGUUUAAAUAUGCAUUGAAGGCUGCCUGAAGCCAUUUGGUUGCUUCAAAGAGAGAACUGGCAAGGCUUUGGUCCGACAAGGACACAAGAGGCUGUAGUUCUAUAUCUGCUUACCUGGGAGUAAGCCCCAUUGAACUCAACAGGAAUUAUGCCAGAAUAGUCAUGUAUAUACUUGCAUUGUGUUUUUUGUUCACUUGGCAAGCUGUGCAGUAAUCAGAAUCUGGUAAAUUUACGAAUGGGCCUGCUUCUGCCAGACUAACCCUUAGCCCAGGGGUCAGCAAACUUUUUUCAAGAGGGGUCUGUUCGACUGUCCCUCAGACCUCUCCUGAAAGGACCCCCCCUCCCAAAAGUACCCCCCUGCCGUCACUCACGCCACAGCCACCGAUGCCACCUCGUCUUUGGCAGCAUUGUCGUUGUCCUCUGCCUUGGCCAGGGGUCUGCGGGGGCGCAGAGCACAAGCCGCUGCCCUGGGCGGCAGAGGCAGCCUCCUCGCCACCGCUUCCUCCCGCUCGGCUCUUGGCCAAACGCAGCCACUUCAGUGGGAAGGAAGGGGCAUCGUCCAGAGGCGUCCGCAGCUUCAGCUUGGCUACAGGAGCUUCCUGCAGCCAAUCUGAAACCGCACCAGUGUCACCGCCUGCCCAGAGGCGCCCACGGCUUUGGAUUGGCUGCAGGAAGCCGUGCCAGAAUCGCGGAAGUCAGUCCCCACGCGGCAAGGACUCCGCUCCUUGCCGGUUAAGCGCGGGGACUGACCAAGUGGGAAGCAGGGCCCGUGGGCUGGAUUUACAAGCCCGGUGGGCCACAUCCGGCUCCCGGGCCUUAGUUUGUUGACCCUUGCCUUAGCCAGACUACUGGACUGAAAAUUAGUUGUGGUUUGGGGUGCUUGUCUCAUAAGGAGUGAUUCCUCUGACCCCCAUCUAACAAUACUAACUAAAACACCUCACUCUUAUAUUCUGUCAUGGAAAUAAUAAUUGCAUUACUUCAGGUGUAGGGAACCUCAGGCCUGGGGGACAAAUGCGACCUCCAGCCCUUUCGUUCUGUGCCUCUCAAGUUGAGUUUUGAAUUCAACUUUUUUGAGAUGGCAGCAACACCGCUUGAGGGUGAGGGCCCUGAGAGUGGUGGGCUUUGUGCUCCUUGGCUACAAUCACCAAUUUCUUGCCAUAUCAUUAGACAGUUUUACACAAAGACACUGGAACUGCUCUACAAUUAGGCAGAGCGAAGCAGUGCCCUCAGACAGCAACUGCUGAGGGUGGCAGGAGACCCCCACAAUUCCCCAAGUCAACUAAGAUAGCCUGUAGCCCUCAGCUGUGGGGGAGGAUGUUGUCUCAUUGCCACUGUUGGAAGAAGUUUCAACUGCUCUUCUGGUACAUGGAACAACAGCAGUGGGGAUGGGUGGGUGGACAGGAGUGCUAAUUUGCCCUUACCUUCAGGCAGCAAAAUGACUUGUGCUGUCUCAACAAAAGCACAACCACUUGCUUCCUUCAAAAAAAAUAGAGAUGAGAUUCACCUGGAAAGGACGGCGCAACUGAGAAAACAAAAAGGGAAACAGUGAUGGUUAAGACAGUGCUUUUUAAGGUCUGUGGGCGACAACCACCACUAUAAUAAAUACCUAUCCAAAUGCUGGAUAAUUUAUGAUGCUUCCUGGUUCUUGUCACGCGCAAAAUACAAUUUGCAUUAUUUCAGAAGAGUAGAAGUUCUUUUCCAUUACUGUUGGGGAUUUAAUGAAACAUACUGUAUAUUUUUCUUUCUUCCUGUUGUUAUACAUAAUAAUGCAUUUCUAUCCUAUAUUAGCAUGCUGUUGUUUUUAAUAUUAGCAUUUUGGUUUUGCAUCUCAUGAGAUCAGUUUAGUUUAGUUUAGAAGCUGAAAAUGUGACUUUAUAGGUGAGACAAAACAUUCAUUGGUUCCUAGCUGAAAGUCAUGAUGUGUUACAAAUGUGCUUAUAAUGAAGUGCUCCCCAUCCCACUUUUGGAUUCUUAAAAGGAAAACACUACUGGACUUGAGCUUAUAAGGUGCCUGUGCUGGACCAGUGACCCUGCCCACUUUAUCAGCAAAGGCUGCUAAAUGUGUAACAUUUUCUAUUCUAGGAAAUGAUAAAGGUACAGAAGCUUGUUUGUAUACUCACAUCUCAUUAGCUGGAGUAACAAAUGUAUUUUAUUUUAUUUUAUUUUAUAUUUAGUUCGUUAGUUAUUAGUUCUCCCUGUUAAUUCUCCUUGACCUCUCAGUGUCAUGGUAGCCUUCUGGAGCGGUUGUACGAGCUGGGAAUGGGUGGCACCGCUUUGUGGUGGCUCUGGUCCUACUUGGAUGGAUGUUUCCAGAGGGUGAUGUUUGGGGAGUGUUCUUUGGCCCUGUGGAGUCUUCAAUGUGGGGUUCUGCAGGGUCUGAUUUUAUCUCCCAUGCUGUUUAACAUCUAUCUGAAACUGUGGGGGCCAUCUGGAUUUUGGGUAUAUGUUGUCAGCAGUAUGCUGGUGACACACAGCUCCAUUUCUCCUUUAUAUCUGCAGGCAUGGCAGUGGAUGUGCUGGACCGUUUUCUUGCCUUGGCAAUGGACUGAAUGAACAAAACAGCAGAGGGAUUUGAAGAGAUGGACCAUGACUGCAGAGACAAAGCCACCAAGCCUGGAUUUGGAGAUGAUGAUUCAGGCUGGAUUUUUGCCAGGAAGUUGCAAUGCAUCAGAGUUUUCAAGGUCGAAAGUCAGGUGCUCUGUAUAAUUAAGCAAACUGACAUUGUCAGCUAAUGCAAAGGGAAAAGCAUUGCUGUCAGCAGUCAUAUCAAAAGUGAACAGGACAGCACUGUCCCUUCUGUAAAGGUACGUAUAUAAAAUGUCCAUUUGGCAUUAUAUACCCGGAAUGGAUGCUUCAGGUAGUGACGAAAUUAGAUAUUAGCUUGGCAAGAUUCACUUGUUGCAGCAUGUGGGAUUCCAGAUAUUUGUUUGCCAGCUUGAUAGAAAUAAGGUAUGUGAUCAGCAUUUCCUAACCACUCCAACACCACACACACAGAUACCUCACUCCCCAUUCCUAAACUUACAUUUUCUAAUAUAUUUUGGGUGUUUUUUUAAGGUCAUUGCCAAUAUUUUACCUUUAUUUACAGAGUAAUCCUACCUUCCUGAAUGAGGAGAGAGCUGUGGCACAGCCAUUGCUGCAGGGAGAACCUAGCUGUAUUGCGUUGGAUAGGGAGAGGCAAGUUUUUGAACUGCGUUUGUAUUCCUUUUGCAUUUUAUCUUCCAUUGACCACAGUAGGAGCGAAAUGCAUACACCAGCUUUGGACUGGCGUAUGGUGUGCAGGGGGAGGGGAGAGACAUGUCCAAGGAAUAUUAAGGCCCUGGAUCCUGCAAAUCCAUGGCCUUCCCCAACCUGCCCCCAGAAUGCCUUGUUUGUGGCUUCUUUACAUACAGAGGACCACCAGUAGAACAGUGGCAGCAGUGGAGCUUUCUACCAUUGCACUGUGAGGACGUGUAACUGCAGACCUCCCUCAUGAAAAGGGAGCCUGCAGUACCCGAUUUCUUGUUGACUGUCCUCCACAAAGGCUUAGGCUUUGUUCCAUUAAGAAUAAACAAAUUUUUGAAUGACUGUUGAUAAAGACUGCAUAAACAUGGACAGAUUCACUUGGUUUCACUCUGGACAAGGCCGCAAGUGACCAUUCACCUUCAACCUUCCUUUUUGAAUCUCUGAUUGAACAGGCCUCAGUGAAACCUCUUAACUCAGUGGGUUCCACUCAGCUCCAGUGGCUUCAGGGCUGUUCUUGAACUGAGGCCUCCUAUCCUCACAUGCUGUAAUGCCAGUGGUAUGCAUUGUCGUUGUGCCAGUGCAAUGAAUUCAUGACAGUAUGUCACCUUGACAUAGGGCCUCUCUGUUCAUCUGUAAUCUUUAAAACGUUGACCAGCACAUUUUCUCUUAUUGCUUCUUAAAGAUGAAUUAUGUGUAUCCCUGCAUUGCACAUUAUUUUUAUUUAUCCCUCUGCACCCCAAAAUAAUCUCAACCAAAACAUUUUCACAAGAAGGAAAUUUGAACUUAUCAGUUGUGAGAAAUUAAGUUAAAUAGGUUAUAAGAGUGUAUGUGAUAUAACUAGACAGUCUUUUGCACUCAGGAGGGUCACAUAAAAAUCACUCCAAAUACAAUUCAAAGCCCAAAGAAGUAAAAAUAUAAAAAAGAAACCACAACAAACAGAAAGCUAAAAAUCUAUAAAAAUGCAGAAUCAGCAGCAAUAAAAUUUUAUUAGCCAGCUUCUUCAAAAGCCUUUCAAAAUAAGGAUGCUUUGAUUAACUCAUAAAAGGCAACGAGGAAACUAGCCUAGUGAGCCUCCCUCGUCUUUCACAAAGAUGAGAUGCCACCCAGGAGAAAGAAUGGCUUCCUAACGCGGGAAAACUGAAGUGAAUGCAGGCAUUCUUCCAAGACUGUGAGUUGGGCCAGAGCACUUUGCGAUUGAAAGGAUCAUAGAAGAACUUCAGCUUUGCCUGAAAACCUAUGAGCCAGUGAAGCUCUCAGAAUGGAGGUCUCUGCAGCAGCUUUGGUCAACGAUGAAGGGUGAUGCUUGCUUUUUUAUUAUGUAUAGUAAUAGUAUUUUCACUGAAUUUUGUUUUCAGUUUAUAUCAACACUACAAACACAACAAUAACAAUAAAAAGAAAACUAAAGUAAAACAGAAUGCUGGUUGAGGGAGGAAGGAAGGGAGGAAAGGGAAGAGGAGCUGGGUCAAAACUCUUAUGUUUUUCUCAUUUUCUAUUUAUGGAGCUGUCAUAAAAUAUAUUUGUAUGCAGCGAGCACUGAAUUUGCCCUAUAGUUUGGCAGGCAUCUAAUCUCUGUAAUAUACACUAUUUACUUAUUCAUAAGACAGUUUUUAAACCAUCUCAUUUAAAAAUAUGACUAAAUUCAUUAAAACACCAUAAAAUACAAAUGGUCAACAAAUGAAUCCUGUAAAUAAGUACUGAUAUGGAAAAAAAAAUGCAUAGGAUGCAGCUAGUUCAUGCAACUGAUCCAUUCCCACUGUCUUGGGGUAAGGACACAAUACUUUAGGGAGGUAUCCCAUCAAUGCUUUUUUGUCCAUAAAUCUUAGAUCUGUUUACAAUUGUGUAGCAACAGCACAGUACCAGAUAAUAUUUACCAAGUGUCCUUCGGUAUCAAGGCACCAGCAGUUAGAGGAGGAGAGAAUAUUUUUCAUAAUCACAAUGGGGACUCAUAUGUCCUAUAUAGCAAUUUCUCUUGUAAGAGGCAUUGUCUUGAACCAUGAGCACCGCCUCCCACUGUGGUGGGAGUGUUUGAUUCUCCAGCUUCCUGUUCUGUCCUACACACAUCAAAUUGUGCUGCAUCAGUUUUUGUUCUAGCCAUAAGCCAAUGGUAAAAAAAUAAACCAUUGGUUUGGAUAGUGUUGGUAAACAAAGUAGGCUACCUAAUAUGGGCAGCAGUUUAGAAACACUUGGGUUGGAAGGAGCAAAUUUAGAAUCUAACUCACAUUUCUGGUUGUGUUGCAACCACAAGAGUUAGGUAGUCAAUAUUUCUUGAUGGUAAGAAGAAAACAAAACACCAAAGCCACUUCCCUUGAGGAUGGAAAUAUUCUUAACCAGCUUGAGACUAAAUGUUUUCAAAGACAGUCCAUGCUGGGUACAAGGAAGUUGAGGGGGGACUAAGAUGGCAGUGAGAUCCCUAGAGAUGUACUUCAUGCAUUUACUUCAUGGCUAUAUAGCCUCCUCUAUCUCUUAUACUCACAUCCCCCCCGACACAUUUCUGUUUCCAAAGUGAUCACAGUCUAAACAAUCCAAGUACCUGGCCUAAUAUUUCCAAGACAGUCCACCCCAUAAGUCUCCCUUUCAGUGUUCAUCACUUUUAUUUGGGUUAUCAAACAUUCCAAUCUCCAUUCCCUAAUCAAAAACAGAGAGCCAUAAUUCUCAAAUAUUGUUAGGUUUGUUAUCUUGUGGUCACAUGUAGUUACACCUAGACAGAGACUGUUAUGAAGGUUUCCUUUCAUUACUGAAAGUGGAGACUUGACCUGCUGUUGAGCAGGCAAGAUCAGAAGUCCAGGUUCCAAUUACUUACAUCAGGUCUGGCCAAUACUAGCAGCCAAUCACAGGAAGAGAAUGGCAUUCAUAUCCAGGAUUAAUGUAUAUGUCCAGUUGUGCUUGGUUUUAGCUACAUAACUAGACAGGUAAAAGGUAAAGGUAAAGGACCCCUGGGCAGUUAAGUCCAGUCAAAGGCGACUAUGGGGUUGCAGCGCUCAUCUCGCUUUCAGGCUGGCGUUUGUUCACAGACAGCUUCUGGCAUAACGGGACACCUAGAAAGCAAUCCUAAUGGUGUCUACUCAGAGGCAAAUCUCAUUGAAUUCAAUAGGGCUUACUUCCAGUUAACAAGUGUUAGGAUUGUAGCCUUACUGCAGUUUAAACAACAACAAUAAUAUAAUAAUUUAUUAUUUAUACCCCAGCCAUCUGCCUGGGUUUCCCCAGCCACAAGUGUAGAACAUAAACAAUACAACCAGAAUUUUGCACUGGAGGUGAAUAGCGCCCACUGCAACCCAAACACUCGCAAAACACCUUAAUCCAGGCAUUAAAAUCUUUGCAGUGAUUGGAAUGUUUAAUUUCAUGAUAAUUUUACAUAUAUAGUUAAUUAUGUUUUUGUUCCUUUUCGUAGAGCCAGGAACAGAAGGUAAGCAAAUGAGUGCCUACAAAAAUAAAAAAGGCAGGCUUAGUAUUUGAAAUUGUCUGUGAAGAUUGUGAGAAGGUAAACUACAGAGACUGUAUGGCUGGGCCAUCUUGUCCGACUUUAUCAUAAGGAAAAAGUGAUUCUUGUGCAGUGAAGUUCACUUUGCCUAGAUCUUUAGGCCUGAUUGCUAAUUAUACUGCGAACAAACACUCUGCUCGAAAACCAUGUCAAACCUAGGUAAAUUAUGGGAUAAAAAUAAAAUCCAUUUAAAGCAAGAUGAGUAGAGAAUGUAUAUUUAUAGCUGCAGAACAUGAGCCAGACUUGAACUAUCAAUUCCUCACUUUGUCAUUUAAGAUUAUUAUUUUUAACUGUUAUUAUAAAUCCGUAUCUUGACAUUUGUUUGUUAUGUUUUGUCUUCAUUUAAUAUAGCUCCUCAGUGUUCAGUUAGGCAAGAGAACUGUUCUGCUCAAGUUCUAACAGACACAACUGAUCCUAGCUGCACAGAAUAUGCUCACAGGAUUAACAAGAAGGUGCUUCCUUUAAUUUGAAGGAAAUGGGUAGCUACAUUUUUAUAAUGUGACACUCUUCUGUAAGAAUGGGUGGAAACUUCCAGCUUAAAGUCCGCAAACCCAUGUUGUCCACGUUUUCUUCCAUAAAUGAACCUGAAUUGUUCAGCAGAAACAAGAUUUAAAAAACAGUGUAACUUAUCAGAACCAAUAAUGUAACAGUAUCUACUGGUGGCAGUGUCUCCUCACUGGGGCAUAUAACCACCCUGCUUUACAGUCUGUGGUAAGUAACACUUUGGAACCUCAUCCUUCAGAUAUUGUUGGACCCCAACUCCCAUAAACCCUGAUCAGUAUGGUCAGUGGUUAGGGAUGAUGGGAGCUGUUAAUAUAGUAACACCUGGAGAGCAACAGGACCCCCACCUCUGGAUUAGGUUGCUGUUAAUAUUCAGGAUGUUUUGCUACUCCAGACAAGACUGAAAAUGCCAUCUCCAUCUGCUCCACAGCCCUGCCCCCAGUCCAGACAGCUGUGCAUCCCCUGCUAAACAUUGAAAAGCCCUUCGAGAGGUAAGAAUGAUGGGGGUGGGACGGGCAAGGCAGGAGGUAAUAGAGCGCUCCAAAAUUACUAGGAUGAACAUAGUCUUUUUACAGGAUUACAGCCCAUGCUUACUUAGUAGUAUGUUCCCUGGUAUUCAGUGGUGCUUACUCCCAGGCAAGUGGACAUAGGAUUGUGCUGUUAAUAUUAACCUCUGCACUAACCCUUCAAUGCGUAAUUUUCACAAAAUGCAGGAAGUAGAAUUAGGUUUUAGUUUGCUGCCUAUGAAAUACAACUGUAUACACAAAUCAGUGUAGCCAAUAUGCAAAUAUCCCUCUAACCCAGAAUCCUGCUCCUACAGCCAUGAGUAACAGGAGCUAGUUUUCUGACCAUUUAUAUAAAAAGCAGUGACAACAACAAACCCUGCACCCAUAAAGUCAACUCUAAACUUCAUUCAGAGAAGCAGGCUCUUGAGGGUGGGGUGGGGGGAGUCAGCUUACUGCACAAGGUAUUUUUCAUAAGUGCCAGAGGCUAAGUGAAGAUGAAUGUUCAAUAUGCAUCCUAUAAAGCAUAGUCAUAAACUCCAGAGCUGAGUAAUGAUGGUACACACUUGUAGCAGAGAGUAAUAAUGGGCCUCAUUCAAUAUACAAUAAUGUGAUACUAAAUAUUUAUCUGCCUGUCACAAAUUUAAAUGAAAUUCUUUCCAUUGCAAAAUAUGCUGUGCACAUAUAUCAUAAACUACCCUUCAAGAGGGCAGGUGGUGUAAAAGGACUAAUUUAAAAUUACAAUAAUUACCUGCAGAUCUACUGUUGCCUAACAAACCUGCUUAUCCUGUGUUAGCGAACCUCUAGUUUCACAGACAAAAGCUGGGAGUCAAAUGAGAAAGAAGGACACUCUUCACUUACUGCAUAGAUGGGCCACAUUCCCUUCUGGGCAACUUUCUGAGGACUGCAUGGCAGUGGUAGAUGGGUAUAAAUUACAAAACUGGUGUAAAUUUUACCUUUGUACAUUAUACUAGUUUCUGCAGAUAUUCCUGCACCCUUCUCUAUCCUCCAUGUGUAAACCGUCUAUUAAACUUGAAAGACACAUUCCAGCAAGCUCAUAGUAUGUAGAAUGCAUAUAUGAAUGAGAGCAGUGAGGGGUGCAACCUUGGAAGAGUGGGGAGACUUCUGAGGGCCAGAUAGACAGAUUUGGGGCUCCCCACAUAACUGCUUUAAACAACUUAGCCCUGGAGAAAUAGAAUACAUGUGACUAGUUAAUAGGGUUGUCAUAUUUCAAACAGUGAAAAGACAGAAAAGUUGUUGAGCUUUUUUGCCAUUUUGAGCUAUUUUAAGGCAAAAUCAGCACUGCUGACAUGGUGUGCCAUACAUCCAGAUUUUCCAAAACAUUUGUCCAAUUUCUGCCCGGAUGCUGUUGAUGGAUGUGGUAUUCCGGAUAUGUCUGGGAAAUUCUGGGUGUAUGGCCACCCUAGUUGUGCAAAGAUUAAGUAUCCAACUGGGAGUGGAACUAGCAGUGACCACAAACCCUCGCCCAACCCCUCUUCCAGAUUGACAUUCCAGCUGCAUCAGAAUCCAAAGGCUCUUUUUCUUCCCCUUGACCUCUCCUCACUUUCCCAACUGUCAGUUCAAGGUUGGUUUCAUUCUGCUUGGGACAAGUACCCAUGAAGGCACUGCCAGGCUACUCCUUUCUACAAGAACAACAAAACUGUCAGUUCUAAUGGGACUAGUUAGUAUGCAGCAGUGACUGGAGAACAUGGCUACCCUCCCAUUCCCUAUUUCCACUACUACACUAAACCUUUGGUGCAUUCCAGCUUCCAGAUUUAAUUCCAGAGUUCAGGCAAGUGAAUGGCUGUAUUCCUAGUUCUUCAAAACUUUACAGAAUGGAACCAUAUGUCUCUGCUCAUCUUCAGUCAGAGCAGGACUGUGGCAUCACAGGCAGCAUGGUUCUCAGGAGGAAAGGCACAUUUCAUAAAUCUAAUCUAGUUUUUAGGGACCAGAUAUCAUUGAUUCUACUUCAGGACAUUUCCUGUCCAAUUUAUAGUUCUGGGCAUGAGACAGUGCAGGGAAAUGCCGUUAACUAUUAAAAGGAAAAGAAACCGCACCCGGCAGUUCCUCAGCUUAAUGCGCAUUUUAGCAACUGCACAUUGCCUGAAGAAAGUGGCCUCAUCAUUUAGUUCAGGCUAUAAAUCCUUUGCGACAGGUCUGAGCCAUUUUGCUAACGGGUUGGAAUGAAAUCCUAUACUCUGAUUCUGGCAUGGUCUGCACAUGAAAAGCAUAGAAAACCUGAGGGUAACUUUAAUUGGGCAACAUCGGAAUCGGGAAAUCUACUAAUCCUAAUGCAAGUUUAAAUUGGGAAGAGGUAGAGAAAGAUCUCUAGUAUGUUAAUUUAUCUUAGGUAAUUCUUCUGUAAUCACCUGUGUUGGUGUUGGUGUUGUUUUUGAGGAAUAUUCAUUAUUUCUGAUCUAGCCCUGUUCUUGACUCUGUGCCAGCUACCACUCAGUAAAUAUCUUCAGCUUUAUUACCAUGACAUUUCCAUCCCUUGGAGGAAUGAGUUCAUUCAACAGCUGAUGACACAAUUUAACUGUGAUUUUAGCAGACUUAUUUCAAGAUGAUCCAUGCCAGUGUCUGUUUUGUAAUCCUUACUAAUGCUAAGCACUGAGCAAAUACCCUGAACGCAGAAGGGUUGUUCUUAUACACACUGUGACUUUCAUACUUGAGCAUCUAAAAAAGAAAAAGAAAAAAAGUAGUGUAUGGGGAUGAGUUUGGAAUACAUUACCUGGUAGGGGAAGAAACCUAUUUAUUAAAGCUGUAAUACACUACAGUUUGUUUGUGCCAAAUGUACUUUCCAGCUGGAGUCCUACCAUUCUGGGAGUAGGAAAGGCCCUGUGAUACUUGAGGACACCCUACACAAACAACAGGAGUGCGUACACAUUUAAAACUCAGUGUGUAUUUCAGACACUUAGAGGGUAUGUAUUUAGAUCAAUUUAGGAAGAUCAGCAUGACUUCUCAUUGUUGGAGACAUUGCAACAAGGGACAGGAUGACUAUGGCCAAAUACAGAAAAAACUUUUGCAGCUAUUAAUAAAGGGCCUGAAGACAGGAGUGCCCAGUGUGCUCUGGUCCAUGGGGUCAUGAAGAGUCGGACACAACUAAACGACAACAAGAACAAGGCCUUAGCUUCAGUCUUCCACUGGACUUGGUAAGUCAGAGCCAAUAAUUUAUGAAUUUGGUUUCAAAGAACACUGUCCACAAUGGAAAUUUGUCCAUGCAUUGAAAAGACCCAUGUGGACAUAAGAACAUCAAGAUUAAAUAUUUAUGCCAGUGUUGUUAAAGAAAAAAGGUUGAAGAAUCACUCUAAAAUCUAGAUGAAUCUUAAGUAGGGAACUGCAUUCACUGUACCCUCAAUGCUUUUCCAGAUUAAUUUGAAUUUAACACAUACCUUGCAGAUUCUGCAGACCAGAUACAUAACAAUGAAGCAAUAUCUGAGUAACUAGAACAGGAACGGGGAACCCCAGUCAGCCCAAGCAUUGCAUUCCCUUCUGGGCAACCUUCUGAGGCUCACCUGCCAGUGAUGGGCAAGACAAGAGGCAAAAGCGGGCAGAGCAAGAAAUGUAAACUUUAUCUUUGUACAGUAGGCUAGUUUCUACAUACAUUCACACACCCCACUCCAUCAAGAUAGGCAAGUGGCACUAAGGGUUCCAAGACAUAUUCCAACCAGGCAAACAGUUGUGGUGUGAAGCGGGGAAGGGUGUGGGCUGGGGAAAGAUCUAAGGCUCAGAUAGAGAACCCUCUGGCAUUUGGCUCCUGGACCUCAAGUUCCUCAGUCCCAAUAUAAAAAAAAUCUACAUUUAACCCUGGGACUCCACUGUCAUGUAGUCACUGUAAGCAAAUAAAUACCAUACACAGCAGGUUCCACCUUCAACAAUAUAUAAUGAUACUGUGCUUGUAAUAACAAGAAUCUAUGAAAUGUUGUAGGUAGGUGUCAUGGCUGCCACUUGGACACAACCAUUACAUGCGCCUUUCCCUGUUCCAUGUUCUCUUUCUUCUGAAUUGCACACUCUCUUCCAAGUAUCACAGAAGGGGAAGAAUAAAAGACCGAUCCAGUAGUAUGGAAAAGAAACAAAUUCUAAUCACACAUCAUUAAGUUUAAGCCAGUUAUGGAAAUAAUAUGAUGCUAUAGAAAUACAAGUUUAAGUGUGGGAAAAUCAGGCAAGAGGGAUAAAUCAGUGACAGAUUACAGAACAUUCACAGGCUGUUUUCUGUGGCAGGCCAUGUUAAAAAGGAAGGCAGCCAGUCUAGACACAUCAGUAUCUUCCUCUUGUGGUUGGACUGUGUUUUGUCUGGAACCAAUAGCUUGGAGAGCCUUCAGGGUUCAGACUUCCCAAGGGUUCUUCAGAGCCACUUGUCUUAACAACAGUGUUUGGACAUGUGCACUACAGCCAACCACAGCUCAAGAGCAGUUAACAUCCAAUUCUCUACUGAAUUCAGUGGAAAGAGCACAAAAUUAGAAACCUUCAAAAUGUUAUGUGCAUAUACAUUUUAAGCAAUGUGUGUUGUUGUUUUUUACCAACCUCUUUGAGUUGACCCUCACUCAAAUAAUUAAAAAGAAUUGCCAAUAAACCCACAAAACUAUAAUCAACUGCUACCAACCCAAACACACGUUCUUUUUAGCUCUCUCUAGAUUUGGGGGUGCUUCAGUUUCUUACAGAAAACUGCAACACCUGCAAGGCACUAAAGUGUUUAAAGCUAGAGACAUAUUAGGUGGAAUAAUCAGGGCAACCAUCAUCGUUAGAAAAAGGUCUUAAAUCUUCCCUCCCUUUCCUAUUCCCCUAUCACUCUAUUUUGGUACCCAGAAAGAGGAGGGUUCACAGAGCAAAAAAACCCCACAGUUUAUUUAGGGUAAAAACAGAGUUUUACUCCGAUGCCACUGCCUACUUUACUUGAAAGACAUUCCUAUGGCAGCAGGGAGCCUCCAGUCGUCUCCCAAUGAACUCAGUAGUUGUCUUUGAAUUAGAAGGAAAUGCUAUCCCCGGAUGCAAAGGCUAUUCCUUUGACAGCUGGGUGAGAAAACAAAAACAUGGACAUUGUGAAAAGAAAGUUAACGUCAACGCCCCCCUGCUCUUCUUCCAGAGCCUUUUGUUUAUUAAUUAUUAUUAUUAUUCUGUAUUGCAUUUAUAAGUUUUCCCUUCCCUUGUUACCAAUUUAUACAUCCAUCUCAUCAUGAUUAUAUUACAAAAAUGUCUAAGGUUGAAUGUGUAUAUUUAAUCAUUUUCAGGCAAUGCUUAUGUGUUAAAGCAUAUCUUUAUUUCUAAAGCAAAUAAACUGUAGGAAACCAAACAAAAACUUUGUGUUUUCAAUAUACAAAUACAACUUUGUCACAGUAUCUUUGUACGACUUUCAAAUUUUCCAUGAAAUAUUCCCUGCAUUGACAUUUUUUUAAGCAUCACAGUAAGGAUUGUUCACAGUCACAUACACUCACAGUGUUAGAAUUAGGCACUAAGAUUUCUUGUUCUAAACUGCUCCCUGUUAAAUGUUAAUUAUUAACACUUAGGGUUGAAAAGAAGGUGUUUAUGAUACAAUUCCAACACCAGGCAGUGGGUGAUAUCCAAUGUCACAUCAGGUAAUGUGAUGGGACCCCACCACUCUCCUGCUUCUUGUAGCCCCCCACCCCAUGUCACUGAUCUAUUCCAGAGGGUUCUCCAAAUCUUCAUGGCAGUUUUGGAUCAGUCGGGGAUUGUAGGAGGAAGGAAAAGAAAGGGAAAGCUUAUUGCCUAAGCAGAAAUCUGCUGCACAAGUGGGCUGCCGCAGCUGGAUGUCACCCACAGUCCAAAGACCAGACCUAGAGAAUAUUCACUUAGUAAACAUCACAUUCUUUUUUGUUGAACCUCUGCAAAAAUUUCACCUUUGUAUUUUAUUGGCAGUCUUGUUUCCUGGCAGAUUGGCAACACUGCAUUUGCACAGCGACCUACUUCUGGGCCCAGUAAAUACUGAACAGCCAGGCAUUUGAGAAGCUUUGAGCUAGUGAAUUGGAAUUUAGAAACAAUUACUCCAGGUCAGUCUUUGAGUUCCUUACUGCUAUGGCAUCAAAGAACCACACUGCUGGUUGUUGUAGACACUGAACUUCCCAGCAGCCAUUGUAUGAAAGAAGGAAGGAAGAAAAGUCCACAAGAAACCAUGUGACGUUUCCAGUCCAAAUUUAUACUAUAUGUGGUGGUAUGCUGUUACUUCUAAAUCCUUGGGGAAAAUUUUGUUCUGCUUGAAGUGAACAGUAACUGCACUGACCUCAGUAGAGCUAGGGCAUGCACAGGUUCACGUGGGAAGGUCACAAUCGUAUAGACAGCACAAUAAAAAUAUUUCCUGUUGCGGAAGUCAGUUUGUGAGGACUGAGCUGCUCUUUUGUGUAUCCUCCCUUAUUCACAUUUCCAUGACACUCGUGCAGCACUUCAAGUAUAAGGGCCCUAAUCCCGGCCACAGUAUCAGGUAAAGAGAUGCUCAUUGAGACUCACUGGCCACAUUGGAGCCUUGGCCAAUAAACCACAGUGGGCUUUGGGCUUGCAUGAGCCCCACUCCCAUGUACCCAGGAGGAAUGUGGAAGCUUUCAUUUCUAGUGUAGAUUCACCACAACUUGCCAUAUUCUUCAGACUCGACAUAUUGGAAUUUUUUGUUGCUUUGGCUCACUGAAACAAGGCAACUUAAAACCACAGGUUAUAAAUCUGAAUAUUCUAAUUAGCAUUAGCUACAGUUUAGGAUUCAGAUGACUCAUCCUUGGAGCUAUUUUUUUAGCACUCAGGUGAGGAACCUUACUCUUGCAAGCCAAUUUUGCACUUCCUUGUUUUGUAUGGGCAAUUUUGGCCCACCAGGGUGGUCUGGGUGUUCCCUACACACGGCAUCAUACAGGUAAAGGUGGGGCUUGACUCAGCCAAAAAGGCACCCUUGGCCAAAGCCUCCUUGUGCAUCUUCCAAAGCAUCUAAUAACAAACUGAUUGUCGAGAGCCUCUGAAGCGCUGCACAAAGCAGGAACACAGCAAGGGCAACCUUGCUGGAUCUGGGUGUGCAGGAGAGCUCCCUGUAGGAAACUCUGUUGUGCACCCCUACUUGCUCAAUUAGGCUAAUUUUCUAAGUAUGCAGCAGGCAGCAAGGUGCUGCUAGAAGCAAGUUUUUCCCUUAAUUUCAGAAGCUGUUUCACUGCAAACAAGGGGAAAGCUUGCUUUUAGGAGUGCCUUGCCUUCCAGACGUUUGGCACUUCAAAGGAUAGAAAUGUCAUUUGUAACACCAAGAGAUUGACAGGUAGGUCACUUACCUGUCCAAAUUUGACCCACAAGACAUAUUUGGAUAAGGAUCUGGCCCAUGGAACUAAAGACCUUCACCAGUGCUGAUUUAGCAUGAUGCCCAAACGUGGCCAGUUUCUGUUGAGGUAUUUAACUUUUGCAAAGAACUAAAAAAAUACACAAUCAGCCACUUUAUAUCAACAUUAUUUUCUUUUAAAAAGACUCAGCUUAAAAUAAACUUUUCAUUAAAAUAAAACUGUUCCUGUUUUUUUUUAAAAAAACACCCUGCAUAGUCAAAUAAUAACUAAAAUAAAAAUUUCAUUUACAGGUAAAUAGCAGAGGGUCAUGGUACUUGCAGCAACUGGUGAAGUGUAUGCUG